ACCCCAUAUACUUAUGGUGGUGGUAUGUGAUUGUGCAUUGAACACUAUAAGGCCGUCAUAGCGAUGCAAACAGGGCAAUGGCCAAUACGAUAAUUUUCAAAUCACCUUUGUGUCCAGUCUAGUUCUGGUGUAAAAACUGCACUGCCAAUACACAGGGAAUCUUGUCGGACUGGAUGAAACUUUGGUUUGAUCCAGCACUGAUGCUCUUAUGAAUUAAAUCCAACUCCUAAGAUGCUCUGGUUCUCUUCAAACAUCUAAAUUCAACACAUUCUCGAUGUCUUCCAAGGCCAUUUAAAUGUUGCAUUGAAUAGGGUUUUUUUUGUAAGCUUUUAAUAUUGCUAAUGGGCUAAUAGACAGGUAGAAGUGUGUUAGCAAUAAAAAUGAGAUCGGGCCAAGAAUAUUAUAUUCAUGUAUCCUUCAAAUCAAACUCUCUCUUUAAGUUUUAAUUCCCACACCAUUCUCUCCCUCCAUUCCAUUUUAACAUUUCAUGAGCAAAAGAAAACUAUGAGAGGAAGCAUGGAAAAUUUAAAUUAAGCUGCACUGAUUCAAUACAAGCAGGGCCUGGAUGAAGUUGCUCAUGAAAAUUAUUGCCAUUAUCAAGAAAUGCUUUAAUUUUUCACCCCCCCUUUUUUUAGCUAAUUGGACUUGCCUAUGUGACUGAUAAAAACAACAAUAUUGUCUCUCCGUUGCCACCCUGUUGCUCUCAAUGACAUCAUAAUGUAGCCCAAAUCUGACUGGAUACAGUUCACCAUGAGGUCAUCACAUUCACUAUGUGAAUCCUGAUUGGAAUAUGGGUUCAUGUGGCAGAGUCAGGAAGGACAAAGCAUCAACAGCAGCCAGGGAGAAAUGGUGUCAUAGCAGUAGCCAUAGGAAACAGUGACAAUGAUCUGGAUGAAAAGUAGGUGAGUUUUUACGUAAUUUAGUCAUUUUCUACCCAGUGAAAUCUCUAUUUUCAAUUUGAAAACUUGGCAGCUGUGGGAUGCCAUCCAUUGAAUUUGCUCAAGUUCAAUCAAACACUUUUGGUUGUGUUGUUCAAGAUGCAUUUAUGACUGAACAAGAAACGGUAAAAGCAGAAAAUGUCAGCUGAAUACCUGCUUCUUCUGUAGGUCUUUAUAGCAAUUUUGCUAGAUUCAAGAGGCUUGUAGUUUUUGGAGAAGUUUCCAAGAAGCAUCUGUAUGGUUUUGUGAAUAAAUGAACUCAUGAACUUUUGGAGAUUAACUAGACUCUAAUAAAUAAUGUCCUUCUAUAGUUUUUAAUCUACUCUGGCAGAAGUGUGGAAUAAAGAUGUUAAGUUCUUAAUAUCUCUUGAGAAAGCAUCCAAAUGUCAGGUUGUACAAUACUGUGCCUUUCUUUGUAAAACCCUGGAAGCCUAGUUUACAAAAAGGAAUGUAAUACAGGGGGAGAUCAUUGUGGAUUACAAAGCAGCUUCUGAAAAUGUCAGUGGUAAAUAGCCAGCAAAUCCCUUAUUAUCAAUAUCAUGGCAUUGAUAUACAGCACAAAGGCAUAUAUGAUACUUGCAAAUCCAUAUCGCAUCAAACAUUUUAGUCAGUAGCAAUCCCUCAGACCCAAGCGAAACACAGGUCUAAUACAUGUGGGAUCUUGGGUUUUAUUAAUGAUUAAGUUACAGGGACUCCUCUUGCACAAAUGAACUUGAUUUUAAUUGAGUUCUAUGAAAAUGUGCCUGGGGUGUUUCUUGCUUUCCUUAUGUCUAAACAUCACAAAAGAGAUUAAAACCCCUUUUUGGGAAAUGAGUCUUCAUUAGGAAGGAAUAAACUGCUUCCACCUUUGGUUUCCCAUGAAGUGAAAAGUGUCUCGCAGUGGAACACAGGCAGUUAUUGACCUCAACCUCUGUGGACUAAAUCAGAUGUAACCUUCGUGCCAUUUGAGCUCAUGCACAAUCUGGUCUAAUGCUACUCUGAUCACCUAUUGUAACAUAAAUGCUAUCUUGUGGCGUCAAGUGAAAAGACAGCUGUCUUCUGUUCAAGUCAAUUGCUUACUAAUGAGCAUGGAUGGUCAUCUGAUGCUUUCCAGGCUUAGCUGAAGGUGCUUGGUUUUUGAUGGCUGUUUCCUCAAUGACCACUGCUAAGGAUAUAGGUGUGGCCUGAAAAGAGGGGGAGAGGCUGAGGAAGAAAUUUGGCCUGCAGGGAUUCCCAAAAGCCACAGAGAGAGAGGCCUGGAGGGCCGCAUCUGACCUGUGGGUCUGAGGUUCCCAAGCCUGGUCUGAUAUUCCUGUGAACCAUGAAGGGAUUAAUCGGCAUUUACGGUUUUGCUUAAUUAAUUCAGACUCACAAACCUGAAGGAUAAAGAACAUUGAACCAUUUCCCACUAAAAAUCAUGAUUUAUUGCAAUUAAACAAUUACAUUAUAAAUGGUAAUUUUGGUGCAAAAUCCUUUUUAUUUUUAAUUGACAAGGCUCAUCAGUUCCAAGCAAAGAUUGAUUCAUGUUGCUUGGAAGUCUUGUUAAGCAAUCCCAUUAUUGUUAUAUUUUUUUACUUCUCUGGGCUGUUUGUAAGAAAGCAUAUUCACCCCAAACGGUAAUUUGCCAUAAAAAAAUAGAUAAAAUAUUGCAGUGGUAACUAACCAGAAAGAAUAAAAUGAUGAUGGAAUUGAGAAAGUUGUACUUGCACAAAAAGCUUUCAAAAUCAGCAUCCUCAGGCUUGAUUAGCAUGAAUGAAAAAAAGAAAUCUCACAUAAAUAAAUAAAAUGCUAGCAACUACUACCUCCUACUUUACUUGUGGGCUCUGCGGUUUAGGGAGCAGAGGGAGGGGUACUCUAGAAGUCUGAGGCAAGCAAGGGCCCACAGCCCAGCUCCCUAACUGGCCAGGUGGGGCUCGCUAGCUCUGGGAGGAGGUGUGUGAUAACUCAGGUGGAGUAGGCUUAGAACAGGUGAGGGUCACAUGUCUCAUCAGGCCCAGAUGCUGUAACAGGCAUGCAAAGUACAGAAGGGCAGCAGAGCAAAGGUUCUGUUUCUGUUGAACUGCCCAUGUUGAUGGCCCUCAGCUUGUGAGACUCUGUUUCUGUAUGGACUUUGGACACAUGGAUUGAUCCUGGACUGGGGACUUAACAUACUGACUUGCUGCCAGGUAGGCCAGAGGUUCAGGACACAGGAGAUGGUGAAAAUUCAACUCUUGAUUGCUUAAUCACUGCUAACAGGAGGGGUUGUAGCUCAGUGGUAGAGAAUAUGCAUUAUGUGGCUUGAUUCCUGGCAUUGUCAGGUAGGGAUGGGAAAGUCUUCUAGCUGAAACUCUGAGAAGUUUCAGUUGGUGUAGAACAGUGAUUGCUAAACUUGGCCCUCCAGCUGUUUUGGGACUACAAUUCCCAUCAUCCCUGACCACAGGUCCUGUUAGCUAGGGGUGAUGGGAGUUGUAGUCCCAAAACAGCUGGAGGGCCAAGUUUGGUCAUCACUGGUGUAGAAGAUCACACUAAAUUGACAAGUGAAUCAUAGAAUCAUAGAAUCAUAGAGUUGGAAGAGACCACAAGGGCCAUCGAGUCCAACCCCCUGCCAAGCAGGAAACACCAUCAGAGCACUCCUGACAUAUGGUUGUCAAGCCUCUGCUUAAAGACCUCCAAAGAAGGAGACUCCACCACACUCCUUGGCAGCAAAUUCCACUGUCAAACAGCUCUUACUGUCAGGAGGUUCUUCCUAAUGUUUAGGUGGAAUCUUAUUUCUUGUAGUUUGGAUCCAUUGCUCCGUGUCCGCUUCUCUGGAGCAACAGAAAACAACCUUUCUCCCUCCUCUAUGUGACAUCCUUUUAUAUAUUUGAACAUGGCUAUCAUAUCACCCCUUAACCUCCUCUUCUCCAGGCUAAACAUGCCCAGCUCCCUUAGCCGUUCCUCAUAAGGCAUCGUUUCCAGGCCUUUGACCAUUUUGGUUGCCCUCCUCUGGACACGUUCCAGUUUGUCAGUGUCCUUCUUGAACUGUGGUGCCCAGAACUGGACACAGUACUCCAGGUGAGGUCUGACCAGAGCAGAAUACAGUGGCACUAUUACUUCCCUUGAUCUAGAUGCUCUGACUUGGUUCCUGUGUUCCUAAACCAGAAAAUGGGUCAUGGGAUUAUGCCAUCCCUCCUGGAAUAUGAAAUCUCAUAAAUUUGGAUAUGGUUUCAAACCCUGACUAAGUAGUAACCCAGUUUAGUUCUAACUAAGUGCUGACAUAAUGAUCUACUGCAGAGAAUUUAUGCUCUGUGAGAGGUAUUGGAAAGAUCAUUGUUGAACCAUGUUAAGCAAUUGGCAGUGUUACAUCUCCAGAAAGAUAUUUCUUUUGAAGAUCUCAUGUGUUAGAAGCAUGACAUGAAACCCGUUAUAGCAUCUAGUGCGAAUUACACCACCUCUUUGCAUGCUUACCAGUGGUGAAUCGCUCCAGAAUUUGCCACCUUGGAGAUAUGCCUAGCAUGAGGCUGUAAAUCAGAUGUAAUUCUCUGCUUUAGUGCUGCUUAUAUGAGUAUUGGCAAAAAAGUGGUCUAGUCUGUUGAUACAGCUUCAGUCAAUUAAAAAAAAAAGCAGAAUGAAUUAUUAGAGAUACAGUUAAUUUGGCUUCUCUUUGAGUGCAUAGAUAAAUUCCUUGAAUCUCAUUAAUUGUUUUCCUGUAGUGAACAGGAAAAUGUAUUCCCAGAGAACUGAGCUGAAAAUGGUAUCUCAUAUUCUUAAAAUUAACUGGGGUGGUGGUGGUGGUGGUUAGAAAUGUAUAACCUAGCGGAUAAUGUUAGUGUUUAAUACAGAUGGGAAAUGGUGUGUGUAUAAAAUCCCUGGUGUUGAAUUAAUAUAAAAAGUGGCAGUUCUCUGCUUUAGCAUGCUGCAGCCUCUUAGAUUUUGUUUCUUACACCUGGCUAAGCACCCAUUCAAUAUGAGUAAUCAUUCAGAAUGAUACCUAUAGACUAAUAAUGCUCAACAGACCUCUGGUUAAUUUUGUGGUUAGUGAGUUGGGAAAUUGUGGAGGUACACCAUGAAAACAUUGCUAAGCAGUAAAUUAUCCUAGACUUGGUUGCUGGUAAAACCUUGGAAUCAAAGCAUGUAAUACACAGAGGAACGGCUUUCAAUCUGUGUUCCAUAGGCUUCCUCAAUGAGAAGAUCAGAAUGGUAGGCAAGGAUAGGUGGGCCACCGCUGUCAAUCUUCCCUUGCCGUUGUUCACUGUAGCAUGGGUUUGGGCAAUGCUCGCUGUAUGAACCAUGCUGCUAGAACGUUCCCCAGAGUCCUCUGCAACAAGCAGGGGGUUCCUGGCAGGUAUUCCACAGCAGAUAAGUUGAGAUAGAAAGGAUUUCCUGAAGCCAGACAGUUUGCAAAUGACUAGUAUAGACCUUACCAUGGAGCAAUGGGUAUUUGGACUCUACACUGAAAUAUAUUAGCGUGGUUUUGGUGGGUGGGGAAGAAGUCUCUGCCCUGAGGAGUUUUCAUGAAAAGGGGGGACAAGGGGGGGAAUACAAAUGAAUGCAGUUGCACAAUGCUUGGGAGCAAGCCAACCGAAGUCACUUGGAUUUACUUAUGAGUAAACAUGCAGAGGAUUGCACCAUGGGGGUAAGGACUAAUCAUUAAGUCAGACUUUUCAUGGAAAAGGUGGGUUUUGUUUAGGGAUUUUGCUCUAUUUAUUUACUCCUGUCAUAUAAUUUAAAAAGUUAUCGGGGCAGCUUAUAACACCAUAAUAAGGCGAAUUAAGAAUGAUUAGCAAUAAAAUAAAAGGUAGCAAUAAAAAAUAAUGCAGCUUGAAAACACAUGGAGAAGACAAGGAUGAAAACAGAUCAGGUUUGAAAGGCCUGGCGAAAAGAAAAUGGUCUUUGAUGUCAGGAAGGUGGGCUUUCUCUGGGAAGGCCGGCACUGAAGAGAACAGAAUGGGCGCAAUAUAUGGUACUGCCACCACCCCAUUGCUGCUCCUGCUUACUUUUAAAGAGUUUUGCCUCCACUGAUAAUGAUGUUCUGAGAGGGUCUUCCCUCAGAGCAAAACAUUCUAGGCAAGGUGGCCCAGAAGAACACUGGUACUGCCACAAAUUUUCCAUGGCAGCUAGAAAUGACCUAUAAAUGUUGAAGCAGGAGUUGUGUCCCAUGGAUGUUUUUGGAUUCCAACUCUCAUCAGCCCCAGCCAUCAUGACCAAUGGGCAGAGAUGAUGGUUUGUUGUCAAUAUUUAUUCUUGCAAUCUCAUUUUUGACCACAUCCAACUUACCAAGGUUCAUGGUUCUUACAUUCCAGCUUCCUAUGCAAUAUUUUUCUUUACAGCAUUGGACUUUCCUUUCGCUUCCAGGCAUAUCCACAACUGAGGACCUUUCGGCUUUGGCCUAGCCGCUUCAUCAGCUCUGAAUCUACUUGUACUUGUCCUCUGCUCUUCCUCAGUAGCAUGUUGAACGCCUUCUGACCUGAGGGGCUCAUCUUCCAGCGUCAUAACUUUUAUAUGCCUGUUGUCUUUGUCCAUGGAGUUUUCUUGGCAGGGAUACUGGAGUGGCUUGCCGGUUCCUGCUCCAGGUAGAUCAUGUUUGGUCAAAACUCUCGACUAUGACCUGUCCAUCUUGGGUGGCCCUGCAUGGCAUAGCUCAUAGCUUCUCUGAGUUAUUCAAGCCCCUUCGCCACAGCAAGGCAGUGAUCCAUGAAGGGGAUGGUAGUUGUAGCUUAACUCCAGCAUUACAACACACCACUUGAAACAUGAAAGAGACAAUGUGCAUGAACAGCCUAGACAUGCAAUGUUUAAAGCAGGACCCUAUGAGUGUUUACUCCCCCCCCCAACAAGAACACAGGCUCUGUAAUGUAUUUUGGGAUAAAAGUGUUGCACGAAACAGGAGGGGGAAGAAAAGGCUAGCAACUUCUGUUUUUAACGCUAGCUUGUGAGUGACUUGUCUUCCUACUUAGAAUGCUGAACAUGUAAGCUUCAGCAUCCAUAAUGCCACACAACAGAUUUCAGGCCAAGAAUUUAAAAACGUAAUGUUUUCCCCUUGAAGCUAAAGGAGGAAUGAUAGGUAAGCAGAAUUUAAUAAUCGCUCAAGUUGGGAUUUGUACAGAAAGAAUCGCUUUUGCAAUUCCAUUGGUAUUUCAGUGUUUCUGCUGCCAGAAGAUUAGCAACCUUUUUUAUAUUUAUUUAAUACUAUGGAUUGUUUAUUUGGGUGGGAGAAAAAUGGGAUGUGAGGGGCAGGAUAUGAUCAGGGAAGAAUGCUCUUUGGCUCAUUUGAAAGUGUUCUGAACCACUCGAAAAAGAAAAAAGAAAUACUCCGCUGCAAUUCCCCCCCCCCCCCAGAUACUAGAAUCCAGGAGAUCAGCAUAAGCUCCUAAAAUCUGUAACUUGCGCAGCAUUUCCUGAUACUUCCUGUCCCCAUUAGGUCACUCAGUGUUUAUGAUCAGAGCAACAGCGCGGCAGGAGUUUGCCAAAGUUCUGUAGAAAUGGCUUGCUGUAUUAAUUGAAAAAAGAACAUCCUUCUCCUUAGAGAUUACUCUAGUUUCCUGCUCCCCACACUCCCCAGGGAAGCAGGGAGGGAUUAUAUUCAAACCCGUAAGAAUACAUCCAAUGUAUAAAUUGGGACAGCAGCAAUAAUCUAAGAUUUGUAAUUAAUUUGCACACCAGUCUAUGGCUUCUUGUUGGCAUUGAUGGUCAGUUAUCUCCUAUAUCUGGCUUUCCCUUACCCUCAGAUCAUUUAGGUUGCAAACCUGUACACACCUACCCAUCAGACACAAUGGGUUUACUUCUGAGUUGGCAUACAUAGCAUUUCAGUGCUAGCUGGCUGGACAAACCAACCCCCAGUGUGCAUUGUGCAGGCUACUCAGAUUCUAUGAAUUCCAUUGCACACAUGUGACUCUCUUGGCAUUGUGGAAAACAUUGUUCCCCUGUUCUGGCAGGUAGUCUGAGCUUCCAAGCAGCAGGUAUAUCAUUUUUGCCACACUCCCUACCCCAGAUUGUUCUGCAGGGCUCAUGAGAUUGAUGGGUAAGACGCAAUCAAAUACGAAAUAAUUAAAAAAUAAACACAGACUUUUCAGAGGCUUGCAUCCCAUGACAUACACUGGUGAUCUUGCUGGCUUACUGCAGGGUGAUGAUUGUGCCUUGGCCAUUUCAUACCUUCCGUAGAUUCUGUUGAUUACAGAUUAGCUUCAACAUACCACUACAUGGGAUUGAGGAGGGCACAUGAAAUCUGCCACCAAACAUGGCUUCUCUGAUCGCCAUCUUUGCGAAUUAAGAUCAGGAUCGAGGGUUGUGCUGAUUUGGUGCUUAUCCUAAGUAAUUCAUUCUCUUGAAAGAUGGGUCUUGGUAUCCACGACUGAGCAGCCCUAUUUAGGAUCCACGCUGCUCACCCCCAAAAGGGGGAGGUGCUAGAAAAGCUGCCCUAAACAUAGUCUGCCUCUCUCCCCCCCCCGACUGGGUUAUCAUGCCCAGUGGGGUCAUCACCCAGCGGUCAUAAAAGACAAUCCCACCCCCAGAAGGCGAAAUCCUUUAAAAAUAACAUUUGACAAGUCAUUUUGGAAAACUCUUAUUAUUAUUUAGAGCUUGAUUUGAAAGGCAGCUUCAUUGUAUCACUGUAGGUGGUAUGUUGACCUGUUGAUGUUUGCCUGGUCAGUUUUAUGCUCCCUUCCUGUACUGUAACCUGUUUUUCAUAAUAGAAAAGUGAGUAUGGAUGCAAUCCUAAAGGGCAUGGUGGGGGAAACCAAAGCCAUUGAGCCACCUCAUCCAACGCUCUGCCAGGCUUUCAUAGAAUUAUUAGCACAGGAGCACUUGUCUGUCCCUUUCUCUUUUUCCAUAUUCUCUCUCUAUAUAUUAUAAAUCCCAUUGUGAACAAUGGGAAGGAAAUAAACUAUGCCAGCUCAAACUGGCGUAGUUUGGGCCCUAGUUUAGGAUCCAAACUUUUCCCUAGCCAGCCCUGAGCAUGUCCCCUUUUCUGCCUUACUGACAUCAGAGCUCUGACAUUAGCAGGGCAGGGGCCACAGAUAUUUUUUGCAGUGGCCGAGAUACAGCAUCCAACAUUAGGUCUCCCUCUCAAAGCUCAGAGAGGAAGAUCCAGUGUUUCCCAUGGUCCCUCCCAAGCAAAAGAUAUAUAAAAAGAAAAGUACAAAAAAUUAGCCGCGGCUUGUGCAUGCAGCUCUUGAGAAGAUGAGUGGGCUUCUGUUGUGAUGUAUCUGAGAUAAGGGAUGGGCAAAUUGGUCAAUUUCGGUUUCUUACUUUUCCACCCUAAAGAACAGUUCUCCAUAUUUCCACGACAAUUUUCUUCUUUUUUUUAAAAAAAGUAUGAAUCCCCCCCCCACAUUUUUGUGUAAGUUUCUGCUAAUGCACAGAUUUUUGUAUGCAGUUUAGUUAAUAUACACAUUUUUUGCAAAACAUUUUCGCCAGAACAAUGCAUGUUUGUUAUUUUCAUGAAUAUCUGCAUUUUAUCCUAAUGAGCACUCACGCUAUAUUGUGGGUGCCUUUUGCGGGAUCACGUGAGGUGCUACAGUUCCCAGGAAACUUGCUAGUAGAAGGGGGCUGGCCUGCUUCUCAGUGUAUUAUUCAGAGGUUCACUCCCAGCUUCAGACGGUUCACUCCCAGGCAGACGGCUCUGGAGAUUCACCCUCCCUUUGUUAAUGUUCUUGCUUGCAGGUUAACUUUUUCUUCCUUUUUAGUGGGUGCUGCUGUGGUCUUUGACUGGUUGCUGUUGAAGGACUGGGAAGAAAUUUUCCUGCAUUGGCAGGUUUUGUCUUCCCCAUAGCAAUUCAUCACAACUUUGGCGGUUAUGGCCUUGGGUGGAAUCCUUUAGUCUUUUCUUCCCUAUAAUGGGGGGGGGGCCUUUGAAGUGGUUACUCACCCCCCUGUGGUGACGAUUCCAGGGUCCCCCUCUUAAAGGGUUACAUAAAUAGGUGUCACUGGCCAUAGACUGAAAGGUUGUCAGUGAACUACCCUGUGUGUGGGGAUAUGGGCUGGGCUGCCUGCCUACAAUUACGUCUCACAGAGCACCCCCAUAUCCCAUUUACCCUAUGAACCCCAGUUCCCCCUGGCUGGGAGGGAUACAAGCUCAAGACCUAAGCCAAGGUCUUCCUACAUUCAGAAGUUUAAUAAAGUUGUGGCCUAAUUUUAAUUCCAUAACGUUGUCAGAGUCUUUAUUUCCUUUCCUAUGUUCCCUGGGAGUUGGGGCUGUCACGCCUGGUCAUGCAAUACGAGUGGCAACCAUUUUAGGUGUGUCCGAUUGACAUCCAACUGCCAAUGUGUGGCUCCUUUUGGACCUGGAAGAGGGAGAAAUGGGGCAGGAUGGGCUUAUGCACACUUGGCCAGUGCAUGCUUUGACACAAACUCCAUGAAAAAGGGCAAUGGCCUUUAUAACACAUUUUGUACACAUUACUUCAUGGGAGAACUACAUUGCCAAAUGCGGAGAAGCAUGAAUUUUGAAGGGCAGCUGUGUUUGGAUCCACAUAUUAGAUCAAUUUGCAUUUAAAUGCAAACUGAAUCCCCUAUCCCUAACCCAGAGAGCAACACAAGGAUGAUAAAAAGGAGCCCUUUAACCAUUCCCCUUACAGUAGGAUUUAAUUUCAAAGCUCUUCCCUGCUUUGUGACCUUGAAAUCUUGCCUUUCAUUGGGUUUUUUUCGGGAGGGGGGAGAGGGUAAUAUUACAGCUGCAUGCUACAUAUACUUGCGUUAAAAUGGUUCGGAAGCAAGACUUAUUGGGAGGGGCAAGCUUUUUUGACAUGAAAGCAUCCCACCUGUGUAGAGUGAGCAGGAAUUUUUCAUUAGCCAUGCCUUGUGGUCCUUUCAGUUUUCCAAGUUUGACAGGGUGAACUUCCGUGUCUGCUUCCCUUCCCCUCUUCUGCUCCCUCCACGCUACAGCUCACUCGCUCUGUCUCUCAAAUGGCUCGAUUCUGUGGGUUGCGGUGACGGAACAGACAACAUAUUCCUGGAGCCGUUGGUGUUUACUAAUCGGAGGUGACAGAAGCCAGAAAGGGAAGCCUUCUCACCAAUAAAUAAAAAAUGAUCUGCAGUUAGAUCACUUAAGCCCUUCAUUGUAAUGUGAGGAAGAAAAGGGGGGAGGGUAUAUACCCUCCCAUAAAAGCAGAAAUGCUCUCCUUUUUCAUUCCUCAAUCCAAAUACAUCCAGGAGGCAGCCUCUCACGCUGUGUCUUAACCUGCCUUUUGCAGCUAUAGAAGAAUACAGAUGACGGUGGCUUGAGACAUUUUCCUUUGUGCGGUGCGUCUUAUGCAAAGUGGGGAUAAGGAGAGAGGAACGACGGCAGCAAACUGCACAGGCAGUGUAAAGAGAGACAUUCUGCACAGAAUGAAUGUCUUCCUGAUUGCAUUGAGGUUUAUAACGCUGUGUGCUUUCGUCCCAGUGGGUGGUGCAAUUGAGCCAACCUUCCCAGCAGACCAGUUUUAUUACAAGAGAUACCUUAUUAAUUUAAGGGGGGAAACAUAGAAAGAAAAAAAUAAUAAUAAACACCCAUAUUACAAAUUGCAGGUCAUUAUUUGAUACAGCUGCACGGCUUUAAGAAAGGAUGGCAGCUGGAACAUUAAAAGGGAAUGCCACUGCUAAACUUGCUCUGGCCAAUUUGCUUCUCAUUAGCUCUCGGGUUUUGCCCCCUCCUUUUACAAACAUGAAUUAUGCCUGGAUUUUCCAUUAUUAACUUUUUUUUAUAGAGAUCACAGUUUUUGUACUCGGCUGCAAUACGUGUAAUGUUUUCUUUGCUAUCAAAAACAAGCCCUCACCCCAGCACUUCUUUCUGAUUCCCAAAGCAGGUAUGGAUUUUGAGCUUGGGGUUCAUUGAUGUGUUUGGAUGGGUCCACUGAAAUUCUGGAACUUUAUCUGCAUAAAAGCUGGUUUAAUAAUAAUUCUCUCCCCCCAGUGAACUCUGGGAAUUGUAGUUCAGGGGUGGGUUAAGGAUAUCCAACAGAGGAUUCUCAGCAUGCUUAAAUUCCCAUUUGCUUCUUUCUUUGUGGGACUCUAGGACCAUAUAUGCACCUUGCAGAGUUCCCCAUGAAGCGGGACUGAUUAUUAAACCACUCUGGAAACUGUGGCUCAGUGAGGGGCACAGGGGUCUCCUACCAACACUUGGCACUCAACAAAUUACAGGGUUUUGUUUCGUUUAUUCACUUUCACUUUUAGUUUGUUCAAUUGAAAUAUUCUCAUUUUUUUUUAAAAAACCCACAAACUACAAUUCCCAGGAUUCCUUUAAGGAAGCAGCAACUGUUAAAGUGGUAUAUGAGAGCGGUGGCAGACCUUGGGGUCUCAAAUUUCAGCAGCACCAUGUGCAACACCAAAAUUUGGUCUCUCUCCCCCCCCCCGCCUUUGCUUUUGCAUCAUAGUUGCGGUGCCUCCAACUCUCUGUGCCCAGGGUGACUGAACCAGUUGCGCUCCCCUAAAUCCACCUCUGAUGAGAGCUUUACAUGUGUGGUGCAAAUGUGGCAUAUGGCAGCUGAAAUGCUGCACAAUUGAUAUUAGCUACUGAUGUAAACAGACUUAUGAACUGUAUUACAUAGUAAUAGUGCUCAUCAAGUUAUGUGGGGUUGUUGUUAAGCUUUGAAAAGGAAUCACACUCUACCACAGUCCAGGUUUGAUCAGCGUAAGGCUUCCACUGUCUCUAGUUCCUUGCAGAGAUACCGUAACUCACCAGGGAGUUUCACAGGAGCUGUCCAAGGUACUGAAUGCUUGACAGGGAAAGUGCCUGCGUCCACUGUGAGCCUCAUGCCUCUACAGACCUGAACAAGUCAAAAGAAGAAAAAACCCCAUUAAAUUGUGGGGUGAUGCUGAGGGGCUAUGCGCACACAUUUCCUGCAGUAGAGGUAGCCUGGUUGUAGGGUUGAAACUCAAUGGUAGAGCAUCUGUUUUGCAUGCUGAGACUUCUAGGUUCAAUCUCCAGGUAUGGCUUGGAGAGACCCUCUCUGAGUUGCUGCUGGUUAGUGCAGAGACACUAGCCUAGAUGGACCACUCACCUGAUAGCUUCCUAUGGCAGCUUCCGCCCACAAUUCCCUGGCCAGAGGUGGCUUGCUUUGUAAAUAAACAUCUCCUAACCUGUUGAGAAAGCAUCUUCAGUCAGCUCUAGAAACACUAUCAGUAUUCCCUAGGGAGAAAGCAAGUGAUCCAAAAGGCAGCCAUCUCUUCACUUGAUGCAACACUAGAGGAUUUCUGUGUUAAUAGAUAGAAAGUGGGGAGAGUACUCUUCUUAUCUACUCUGCAUGUAUGCUAAAUGGGUAGUUAAUAUGAAUGGAUGGAAAGAGUACACACCUCCAGAAAUCUUAACAUUAGAGGAUGGUAGAGCGAUGCUCCCAUCUGAUUAAGCAACAGGAUUCCAUUGAUGGUGUGGCACAAACUGAUAGCAAACCUUAGAGACCAACAUGAAUUGUGCAGGAGGUAUCUGUGGGACAACAAAUAUGUUCUGUGAGAUUGAAAUCUAUGCUCCACACAAAAUAGCAUCUGUAGAGUUACAGUUACACUGGAUGACUCUGUUAUCUCCUGCCCUCUUGGGUACUCCUUGCUCCAGAGAAUCUCCCACACGAUAGUGGCAUUAUCUUGUUCCCGUAAAAGUAGUCGGCCUCACCAUUGCCUGUGUGUCUGUAUGUGAAAGAGAGAGGAAGAAAUAGGAAAACAGAGUGCUCACAAUAUAUCUUGAUCAGAUUAUGUAAAAUGAUGCCAGUUCCAUCUGCUUCUUUUCAGAUCUUAUGAUGUAAUGUCCUGUUACAACAUACAGAGGUGUGCGUAAUAAAUGCCUAGAUCAGUCCCCCCCCUUUUUCCUUUAGGAGUGAGGAAGGGGCUAUGGAACAGAGGCUAGUAAAUUAGGUUGACUUAGAAAAAAUGGGUGCAGGUAACUUUUAUCAUGAAAAAGUUAGUACAUGGUUUCUACUGUCCCUCCAGAUCAGCCUUGCCCUACAGUUGUUUCCCUGUCCUAGGGGCUGGGGCUCCCCCAUGUCUUUUGGGUAAGGAGAUCUGCUGGGCAUGAGAUCCAAAAGAGGGGAGCUGACAGGCUGGAGGCAAAUCUCCCUGCUUGGUUUCCUUUCCUGGCCAGCUAUCUAUCUCUGCUGUCACAGAUUUUUCUCUUCAAGUGGGGAUAUAUUCCCUUCUAUCCAUCGAAAGGAGAGAGCUAAUCAUGCCACAUGGGCAUUGGGCUAGCUCUCUGCUUUUGAGGAUGAGCUGCAGAACUUGGACCGUACUGUCUUAUUGCUGUCCUCACCCACCAGGUUUGUAGAUGUCCCUACAGAUAGUCAGCAGAAGCACUGAGCAUUUUUAUUGCUAGGCACAGAGAUGCUGUAAAUAACCAGUGGUGGUGGCUGGAUAUUGUUGUUGCAACCAUUCAUUUGUCUUGAGAAACAAUGGAGUGCAACCUCAGGAGUGAAGUCAAAACUGCUGUGUUUGCAGCACUGAAAUGACCUCUCUGGGGCACAAGCCCAUGCAGUGUUUAUGGAGGUCCUGAGCUGCCUAGAUGACAAGACCCUGUUCUCAAUCUCGCUUGUGUAGUUUAGCACCAGCUUGGCCGCAGGAGUUUCUGGAAGGAGGUGUACAAGGCAUCAUCCAACUGUCUUAGGCACUCUACUCCAGAUUUGUGUAGGGUUUACUCCUUAGCAUUUUCUUCUCCAGAAGAUAUCCCACAAGACAGCAGAGGUUUAGGAGCAGAGCAUUCCUUCUCCAAGGUGGGCUACCUUCCCAGGUUGACGAGCCCCAUCUGCUUCCCACUACCCUCUGUAUCAUGUGCAGAAACUGCCUUCUUGACCAUUGGACCCACUAUUGGCCUUGUCCACUCAAUCCAUCAGAGCCUAUCUUCACAUGCAGGGGAAGUCCCUGACUCACCAAGGGUUUGAGACCAUUGGCUACCCUCACCUGGUUUAGCCAGCCAGCCAAAGCCAUUCUUGGACUGUGGCUGCUGUCGCACGCUGACAGCUUCUGGAAGCCACAGGUGAGAGCUAAAUGCAGGGUAGAGACCAAAGGUGGACAGACUUCCUCAGAAGGAGGACAUGUCCCCCAUCAGAGGUACCACCUCUCCCCUAACACCCCAUACACACCUGAUGUACACCAUCAGGAUCAUGCUUCCCAGUAAUGCUUGAUAUCCCAAAGGACUGAUGUGUGCUUUUGAAUAAAGAACAAUAACGCUGAUUGUAAUGGUAUACUACUUUGAGUCAAAUGUAUAGGAUUGUAGCCUGAGACGCUUUUCCUUCUUAGUUUAGGGUGUGGAGGGAGCAUCUUACUUACGGAAAAGUCAAUUGACAGAUAUCUCUGUUUUUCCCUUUGAGAGGAAAAGGUAUUUGUCUGGUUUUUCUCCUCCAUACUAAUAUGGUCUGAGUAUAAGAAAUAGCCCAGCCCAGCAACAAAUACCAUCCACGGGUCUUCCACUCAUUUGUGUUAGCUCUUAGGUGGGAAGCGUCUGUGCUUGUGAAAGGGGAGCAUGAUGAUGAGCCAUUAAGCCAGCUGCAGAUAAUGAUGCUUAUACAAACUGCAACAAUCGUUUUGAUCGCUGCACUGUGAAAACCACAUAGGUGGAAAUAUCCAUAGCUAUGCUUUUACCUCUCUGUCUACACAUACACGCCAGCAAGCUCUGUUUCCCAUGAAAGGUCAUUUUGCCUAAAGCAUUUCUUGAUUUCUCGAGCGGGUGAAAAAUAAUCAUGCACUUAGCAGGGAUGUGAUCCUUGCAAGAUGAGAUUUCCAAAGAUGGCUGUGACAAUCACAGCCUGUGUCUUCCAGGCAUUUUGCACACAUUAAGCCUCUGCCACAGCUAAGCAAACCAGUUUGCGCAAAGAAAGAAAAGAAAUCUCCCGGACUAUGUUGUCAUUCACUCUUCACUAUCAGGCUGCAGCUGAAAUGGGCACAGAAGGCCAAACUCUCAGUUUGAUUCGGAAUUGGGCUCAGCUAAAGCUCUUUUUACAUGUUAAAUAUGCAAAGGCGGCUUCAAGUGAUUAUUGGGUUUCUGGGCUGCACCACUGCCCCUGUCUCCAAGGGCACACAAUGUCAUGCAGCUCCUUUGGGCACACAUUGGACAGUGGUGAAGCCUAUGCUCAUAGAUUUUCCACAUGAGGUGAGGCCCUCUAGUGUAAUCUUUACUCCUGCAGACAUUCACAAUACACGGUCAUUGGAGGCAGGGCCAGGGAAGCUGUAUGAUUUGAGUGGCAGGAGCAGUGGUGUGGCUCUGUUUCCCCUUCAUCAUGUGGUCUUCCCCUCAUGUGUGAAGGGUGUUUAAGGCUCUGAUCUGGAGUGCACUUACUAGGCAGCAAACUGCAUUGAGCUCAAUGGGACAGUUACCCAAGCGAACAAGUAUAGGGAUUGUUUAGCAAUGCAAGUUUUUCUUCUUCCAGAAAAAUAUUUCUGGUUUCCUCCCCAAGCACAGUUCCAAAAUCCAGAAACUCUAUUGCAUUCUCAACAAAAUUAUUGGUAGCAUGAGGGGACCUUUAUGUGUCUCUCUUUCGUUUUCAUUCUUAAUUAUAAAUGCUGUAAAAUGACUAUGUACACAUUCAAUAAAGCAAAGAAUACAACACAUUGCUAUAUAUAGUAUAAUGAUAGCAGUUCCAAAGCAGCUCAAAAAACCAUCCACAGUGUGUUGAUUAAAACCCAAGAAAAUAAAAUAGUUUUUUAACCACCUGCCUAUAUUAUAUGAAGCUGGUGCUAGGCAAAUGUCAUUUUACAUGGUCUUAAAACACUGGCAGUCCUUUAUGUGUCUCUCAAUCCCAUUGAGCCUCUGUCCUUACAGUGCCACCUUCCCUUCACCCAAAACAUACCUAGUAGUGAAGGCAACCAGGAGGCCUCCCUGUGAGGCUUCUCUUUCCCUUUGGUACCUGGUUAAAUGAAAUGGCAGGGUGCUACGCUGGAGAUCCCAGGUCAUGCAAUUUUCCAGGACAUCUGAGUAGUAAGAAUCUGAGACACCCUGGGAACGAUACAUCCGAAGACUCUGUGUGUAUGGAAUACUGCUAAGCAUGCUGAUAAGUGUCCUGGAUGCAAGGUUUCCAGGAACAUGCACUUCCAGGAUGCCUAAUAUCCCUAUUUAAAAACUUAGGUACCCAGGAAAACAUCUUCCAGAGCUCUUUGCACAUGUUUAGAAUUUGGUUUCCAUUCUAAGCCAGGGAAGGCUUUCUCAGGAAACUUGCACUCUAUUUAAUGAGUGGGCCUGGUUUGCUUAGGACAAGGGUGCAGAAUCUGUGGCUCUACAGACACUGCUGGACUAAAACUCCCAUCACCCCAGGCCAUUGGGUAUACUAGCUGGGGCUGAUGCAAGUUGGAGUCCAAUCACAUCUAAAGGGCCCCAGGUUUCUCAUACCUUGUCUAGGAGCUUCGUAAUUCCCUUGUAACAGAGCAAGUGAGAAAACGUGGGCCAUGACAUGGGCCACAGAUGCCAUGACUUCAAAGCUGUCCCUUUGAUAUUUUAGUGGCACCUUAAUAGAACAACCAAGGUUUAUGGCAGUGCUUGUGUAGCCCCCAUGAUAGUUUCCUUUUUGGGGAAAAAUGCUAAUGCAAAGGAGAACUCAACUUUGCAAAAGUUAGCAUGACCUCUGAAAAGGUGCUCCCUUUUGCACCUUCCUUCUGGGAGGGAGCGUGGAACAGUGUGCAAAAUUGUUCGUGGUGGAAGGGAAGGAAAUGCAUUGGCUCACUGCCAAAUAAAACAAGGCUGGUACUCCUUGUAACCACUGCAGAAAUACAGGCACUUCAGCCAGGUGGUUUCAGCAAUAGAUGAAUAUGUUCCCUCUUAUCCCCUCUUAUUCAAAGAGAGGGCUUUGUUCACAAUGUGUUCCCUUAUUGGCUGAGAUCACACAAAGAAGACAAACUGUGCAUAGAGGCAAAGCAGUGCUUCUGAACAGCUAGCAAAUAUGUACAUUUGAUGUUGUCAGGCAUUGUAGGACCUCUGGAAGCCCCACUGUCAAGACAUUUUAUCAAAAAAAAAACAUCCUUAAUUUCCCCUGUUUUUCCCCUCCCCCUCCCCAUAAAGUAACCCCCCUCCACUCCCCCCCCAGACUUCCCUCAGCUCCUCUCUCUGGUUUAUCAACAAUUGUUAUUCUCUGCAUGUUACAAAAUUGUAUAGAUCCUUAAUUUAUCUAAUUAGCUAUUGCCAAUAAAAAGUUAGUGAGUGUUUAUUCAAAACCUGCCAAGGAGUCCAGUUCAUUUUGUUGUUUCUUUAAGUACUUUGUAAAAGGUUCCCAUUCAUCUUUAAAGUUACAGUUAUCCUUGUCCUGUAGCUUAUGUGUCAAUUUUGCCAAUUCUGCAUAGUCCAUCAGUUUCUCUUGUCGGGAUUUCCUCGUUCUUCCAUCUUUGUGCUAUUAAGACUCUUGCCGCCGUUGUCGCAUACAUGAAGAUAUUUUUCAAUUUCCUUGGCAGGUCUUUCCCUACAAUCCCUAACAUAAAUGCUUCAGGUUUUUAAACAAAUGUUAGAUGGAACAUUUUCUUCAAUUCAUUGUAUAUCAUUUCCCAAAACUUUUAAAUUUCAUUGCAAUCCUACCACAUAUGGUAAAAGGUCCCUUCCUUUUCUUUACACUUCCAACACACAUUUGAACUGGUUUUAUACAUUCUUCCUAGCUGCACUGGUGUUAUAUACCAUCUAUACAUCACCUUCAUAUAAUUUUCUUUCAACAAGGAACAAUCUGUAAAUUUUAAGUCAGUUUUCCAUAACCUUUCCCAGUCUUCCAACAUAAUAUUAUGCCCUAUAUCUUGUGCCCAUUUAAUCAUAACUGAUUUCACCUCUUCGUCUUUUGUCUCCCAUUCUAGCAGGAUGCUAUAUGUACCCUUCAAUAAUUUAACUUUCCCUUCUACCACUUCCCUUUGAAACUUGGAUAUUGUAUAACUGAAUCCUUUCUUGCUGUCUUCUUUGUAUGUUUCAUGUAAUUGUCAAUAGUGCAACCAACUCUGAAAAUGAUCUUUUAUCUCAUCAUAAUCUCUUAAUUUCCAUUUUCCAUCUUGGUCCUUUAACAAGUCAGCAUAUGUAAGCCAUUUUCCUUUCUUUCCAAGUGGUUUGAGCAGUAACGCUUCAUGUGGUGAAAGCCACCAAGGAGUCUUUUGUUCUAGCAAGUCUUUGUAUCUCUCCCAUACUCUCAUUAAUGAUUUCCUAAUUAUAUGGUUGUAAAAACUUCUGUGUACCUUUCCUUUCCCAUAGCUUCUGGCUCAUUUAUGACUGGGCUACUGAAGAGAGGCUACCCCACUCAUGAGCUUAAAUGAAGGCUCAGGUUGUAAAAAUGCUCAGCUCAAUGCAGAACCUAGGUCAAAAACUACAAAGCAACGGGCCAGCCUGGCAGCUUCCUGUAGUGGAAAUAGCAGGGCAAUGAAUUCUCUGAGACUUCCUGACGUCCUUUGUGGCAGAGAAAGGGUAGCUGGGCUUACUGCUAUUUCCAAUCAUCAAAAAUAACACAGAAGAAAAAUGUCUAAAAAAUGUGGGGGGGGGGAGAGACACCCUGAUGGGUGGUAUUUUUACAUUUGCUAGUAAAACGUCCAUCAUUUUGAAGUGUGGAAUGGUAGCGGGGAGAAAUAACAGAGUUUUGAAGAAGCAGACGACCUUUUAGCAACUGGUGGUAGUAGAGAUCAAGGAGUGAAGGUCAGAGGAGGGAUGUAUUGAGAAUAAGACUGGGGAGAUGAGGGACAAGGGUAUGGAAGACUUUGAAAGCAAGGACAAGGAGCUUGUACUAUAGCAGCAUUUCUCAAACUUGGGUCUCCAGCUGUUUUUGAACUACAGUUCCCAUAAUCCCUGGCAAUUGGUCCUGCUAGCUAGGGAUGAUGGGAGUUGUAGUCCAAAAACAGCAGGAGACCCAUGUUUAGUAAACACUGUACCACAGGGAUAGCCAGCAUGGUCUAUGGAGUCAUAGUCCAACAAUAUCUAGAGGCCCUCAUUGGUGAUUUCUGUUGUACUUGGAUCCAGAAGCACUCAGGAAACCAGUGCAGGGAUUUAUUCAGGGCCAGAGGGAUGAUUUUAGCAUGAGAGGCCUGGAUAAUCAAAAGGGAAGCAAGGCAAUAGAAUGUAAGUCAAGGGAGGAGAAACAUGCAGUAGACUAAUGAGAGCGGAGCUCUUGCUGAUGGGGCAGAGAUGCAAGGCCAUAUUCUUUUCAAUGCUUUGGAGGAAGAUGCAAUAUUGCUUGUUGAAAGGUUGAUUGUGAGGAACACAGGAGACAGAGGCUGAAAAUAAAGCCCAAGCUACAUCUCUGUUGAACAGGGUGGGUGGUAACAUGGCUGGUGAAUAAAGGGAACAGGUUCAUCUCUGUGGUGGUCCCUGCUUAUGAAAUUCUCACCUGACACCUACAUUACUAUCUAUUCAGUGACAGCUGAAUACCAUUUAUUCUCCCAGGCUUUUUAAAUGUUUAAACUCAUUGCUGCUAGCUUUUAAUCUCCUCUUUGUUAUUGUUUUUAGAGCUGCUAAUGUUUUCUGUUAUGAAAUUUGUUCUAUUCUUUUAUUGCAUAAGCUGCCUUGAUGCUUAUUUUGCAAAGUAGCACAGAAUAAUAUUAAAACAACACAAACAAUUAUCCUUUCCUUCUCUUUGGCUUCUCCUACCACUUUCUUACACCCCUUAAUGCUGACAGCUUAAAAAUAAAUGUGUUAUGUAAAAUAUAAAAUAAAAGCAACUUUCCAGUCAAGAUUCAGCCUUCCUAUUCCAUCUUGUCCCAUUGAAAUGAAAAGGCCACACUCCCCUCUCCUCAUGCACUCUGAAUAACCUAUCAAAUAAGCCCUCAAAUCUCCCCAAGCUCUUUCCCUUCCAGAGGGGAAGCCCUGUUGUGCUAAUGGGAGUCCUUGCACUGGUUUCUGCUAAGGCACCAGCUGGUUGAACCUGGCCCUAAGUAUUAAGCAGCCAGAGUAGCACAGUGACAAGAAUGUUGGACUUGAAUUGAUGAGAACAAGGUUAAAAUGGUAGGUUAGCCAUAAAUCUCACUGGUUGACUUUGAGGAAAUCACCAUCUCUCUUGAGUUGUGUGUGAGAUAAACAGGAGUCUGGGGAUAGACAUCAAGCAUGCUGCAGGAUAAAACCAACAAGGUAACACAUAAAUUGAAAAAUUCACAUUUUUAAAAAAACCCCCACACAUUCUUGGAAAUGUAAAUAUUUUUACAGUUAGGAGGUAGGAAUAAUUGUUUCUCUAUUUCUGCCUUUCCUUCCAUUAUCAGGAAGCACCAAAAGCAUAUUUUGUCAUCAAGGGACAAAGCUGAAAAUAAUGUGAAUAGUUGGGCCUCUGGUGAUAAUUCGCUUCCAAUUCUUCUUGUGAAUUUUAGCCCUUCAUACCAGGCAAGAGCUUAACUAUAGUGCUUUGCUUCAGAGAUGUUCAGGAGCAAUGGAGCGUGCCAGACUAUAUUGGAAAUUGGAACUCGGCUGUUGGCCUCUUUCCUUUUUUUCUUUUUCCCCCCUUUUCCCCUCCUGACGCUCGUCCUAUUCAAACAGUAAAUUUACUAUCUAAUCACAAGUUGCCAUGUCAUUCUAAACAGACUAAUGCAGGGGCUUCAAGCGAUGUAUAAAAUCAUCUAACAAGACUGGCAGCCACUAAAAUUACCCUGUGUUUGCUUUGUCAUUACCGAGGCAGCCUUUGAUUCUGAAGAAUUAGAAGCCUUAUUUGCAGUUCAGCACCUCUUGGCGUGAACAGCUACAGAAGGUGCACAGCAAUUGAGGUGUGGGUGAGGAAUGGAUCUCUCCAGUGGAGAGGGUUAAAUCUGGAUUCUGGAAAGUGAGCCUUGCUGCUGUGCUGAUUGCUUGACCAGGUUUUUGAAAUGCAAGGGAAUGCUUAUUCUCAACAACCUUGCACAAGAUCAUAUGUGUCCAUGGUACGCGGCUGAAAGUGAAUAUAUGGCACCUGAACAGGAAUCCUUAUUCACUCACGAAGGUGAAUAAUUUUUCAUGCUCAUUAUUUUACUCUGCCCAGCAGUAUGUAGCGCGGCAAGACGAAACAGGAAAGAUUCACACCCAUCUGGCUACUAUUAAAGAUGAACUAAAGGAGAAUUUUCCACCAGGAAGUGACCUUGUGGCUAGACUUCCACAUAAAAGUAGGUUCAUAAGAGUGGACGUACAUGAGUUAUGAAAACCUGAGGCUUACUAAAUACAAGUUAGCACAUUUUCAUCAUAAUAUCAUUCCACAAGGAACUCUAUGAAGACCCCAUUGCCUUUCCCUCCACACACUGACAUGGGACCCCUUCCUCAUGGUCGAGCUUUUUGGAAUUGUGCAUGAAUUAAUCCUAUAGGUAAGGCAAAUCACCUGGGUGAUUCUUGCCUAAUCAGCACCCUCCCAAGGGAUGGGUGAUGCUGAUUGGAUGGGGAAAUCACAUGUAAUUCACCUUGCGCACAUGGUUAUUUAUUGAUUAAUACACACUCCCCUAGAGGACUGAGAUGGAGACUAAAGAGGUUUCCUCUUUUUUUUGGUGGAGAAAAUUGCCAGACCAUUUCACCUUUUCUGUUUUUUCAAUUUCACAAUAUAAAUAAGUAUUUUGUUUUGGUAAUGAGAAAGAAAUGAAAAUUUGAAUCAACGAUUGAGACUGGUUACAAAAGAAAAACAAAGAAUAAUGAAUGGGGUGUGUCUCUGUUAUCCUAUUCACGCCCAUUCAGCAUUCGUUGAUGGAGGUUAUUUUCUCAGAAGUCUCUCAAGAGCUUUAUCCAGUUUGAUCUGGAGUCUUACAUAUUAAGGGGUGCAGAACAGGACUUGGCUUUGGAAAAAUGCAUUGCGGGAGAAAGAUAUCUAAUAAAAGUGAUUGUGAAAUCUUGUAUACAAUUUCAUGAGAAGAAAUUCUAAUUAGUUCAAUGGCUUGGGCUGACUUCUGAGUAGAGUAGACGCAUAAAGGAUUGCAUUGGGAAUGUGUUCCUUUAAGAAUAUUGCAUAAGCCUGAGCAUUGCCUUAAAAACAUAUUUAAUUUUUAACAGAAUGACACGUUACUCUCUAUUACAUGAAAUAAAUCAAGCCUGUAUAAAAGAUGCAUAGGCUGACAUUUCCCUACAAGAUUAGUAUUUGCAUGACAAAAGCCAGCAGCAGUGGCAAAAAAUAAACAUUACAAAACUGAUGUUGAGAGGAAUACACACACACACAAUUGACACAAAGCAGCAAUUUUAGACAAAAUGAGGUUUUCCCCUAUCACUCAACCAUCAAUUACCAGUUUCCAAUUAAGUCUUCCCAUCAAGAAAACAGUUUUUAUCAUUAUUUUUUUCUGAUAUGCCAAAGCAAACAUUUGUCUGUUGACCAAACUUCAGCAUCUUAGAUAGAGAAACACUUUACAAUGAAUCCAAAUGCAUAAUCAAACAUUCACUUCAAACAAAAAUUGUUCACAACAGAGAUGAGCUAUUCCAUCCUCUGCAAAUAAAAUUCCAUCACCUUAUUAAAAUAGAAUUUCUAUGGAUGGCUCACCUCAGCAGGGGAGCUUAACCAAACAUUUACAGGGGCUUUAUCAUCACCACCACCCUCACUCAUUGCAUCAUAGUAUAAACAAUUGUUUCAACUGGCCAUCUACACCAAUAGAAGAUGCCUAGUUCUAAAAGUGGCAGAAGGUGGAAAGACACUAUGAAGAAGCUCCUCAUAGCCCUAUAAUAUCAUACCAUUAGCUGAUGGAUUUUGGGGUUGUUAGCAUAAUUCCCCUAAAAUGUAAUUUAAAAAACCACAAUUGCAUGUGAUUUCUUUGCCUUCCUCGUUGAGUGGCUUUAAAUACUUCAAUAGGAAUACUGGAUUUAUUUGACAGCGACAAAUGGAUUUGUCAUUCAGAAACAUACCGGAAAGUAACAAAGGUAGCUAAAAAUCUAUUAUUGCACUGACUGACAUACAAGCAGAUUAUUAUUGAGUGUUGCAGCUGUAAGUCAACAUUAUGUACCUAAUAGGAAAGGUCUAGUUUAGAACCACAAAAGCCAAGAAAAAUAACCCUGAACUUUGGAAGUAAUUGUGGCUUUUGGAUUUCUCCCCCCUGAACCAACACAGAUUUUGAUCUGUGUGUAAUUUUUAGUUUCCAUUUAUGUCAGAGUUGGCCAGCUGGAGGCCUCAGGUAGUGUUUGUUGUUUCUUCUUCUUCUUCUCUCCCCCCCCCAAUUUAUUUUAUGACACACAUUAAAAAUAAUAAUAAUAAUAAUAAUAAUAAUAAUAAUAAUAAUAACAACAAAACAUAAUCAACACUAAAACUUACAAAAAACAAAAACAAAAAACAGAGAAAUACAGCUAAAACAUUGUUACUUACAAAAAUUUAUACAAACAAAUGAACAUCAAUAUAUAUAUACCAUACUUCAUUUUUUCUUUUUUUCCAAUUGACUUUCUUCACCCUCAACAUGGUUCUCUUUUCAUUUUUGAUAAACUGUUUCCUUCUUAAUUCCUUACUACCUCUUUUUCUUUCUGUUUUUGACUUACAUACCUUCAUUUAUUUUGCGGAAGUUAAUCGAAACAAGUCCAAGUAUUAAUUUGAGGGCACUGCUUUUAAAGAUAUUCUCUAUAUUUCCCCCAGUCUUUUUGAAAUUUUUGUUUGGCUUCUGAUAGCUUCUGUCAAUCUGGUCAAUUCAAUAUAAUCCAACAAUUUAUCUUGCCAUUCUUUUUUUGUUGGUGUUAUUUCUUUUUUCCAGUUUUUGGCAAUUAAUGUUCUUGUGGCCUCUGUAAGCUUAAAAUAUAUAUUUUUCCCUCCGGCUAGUGUUUGGGCACUGGUUGGGGUGAAUGACCACUCCCCACAUCAAAUGGGGGGUGUCUUUUGCAUGGUUGUUCACAGCCCCCCAGACCCUAUGCGGCUCCUGGCAGUACAGUCUGGCUUUGCCCUCCCCAGGCUGGAUACCUGGAGGUCUCCGCUUACCUCAGCCAAUUGCCCAAUACCAUCUGGGAAGGCUUUGCCAGGGGAUUGGACGAGGUAGGCCCUGCCCACACAAUAGAGGGUGGAUCUCCUUCUACUGGUCCACAAUAGAAAGUGUCCUUUCAUACUGCAUCACGGUGUGGUAAGCUGGUUUGACAUCAACUGAUAGGAAGUUCCUACAGAGGGUGGUGAAUACAGCACAAGAUAUUAUGGGCUGUCCCGUGAAUCUGCUGGAUGAAAUAGCGGAAGAACGUUGCCUCAGGAGAGUGAGGAAAAUUCUCAGGGAUGAUUCACACCCUGGCUGGCACUUUCUUGAUCUCCUGCCCUCAGGCAGAAGAUAUAGAAGCAUGAUUAGUCGCACCAAUAGGGUAAAGAACAGCUUCUAUCCGUGGGCUGUUAGGCUGCUGAAAGAAAAGAUAACAACAGGGCAACUGAUUUUCGGGUUUGGUGGGUGUGCUUCAGUAAACGAGGGGAAUUAAGACUAAGAGAGCUGAGUGGGGGGUGCUCGUGUAAUCUCACUGUAUACAAGUUGUACAAGUGACAAUAAAGUAUUUCAAUUUCAAUUUCAAUUCAAUCUUACCUGGGAAUCAUCAGUUGGCUCCAGAGAGUGAGUGUUGGGGUGAAUGUGUAUCUGCCAGAUCCAAAGUUCUUGCAUUCCCCCCACAUGCUCAAAGAACCAACCUGACAAUAUACCAUCCCUGGGGCUGAAGUAGGUAUUUUGCUCCCUCUCUCCCACCCACCUACCAUGGCUAUUGCAAAAUGGCAGGACAUGGUGCAGCAGUCACUCUGCUUGCUGACUUUCCUCUCAUCUUAAUGCCUCAAUGGUGAAUUAAGAUUACUCUGCUAAAUCCCCCCCCCCAAUCUGUUUGAAUUAAAACAACAACAGCCAACUGCGGGAGUGCAAUUAUGCACAUGAGAAUUAAAUAUAUAAGCAAUUAAAAUCUAGUGUGUUGGCAAUCAAAGGAAAAAUACAAACAUCAAGGAAAGAGAAAGUCACCUAUUUGGAGAAAAAUAAUAACAACAUUUUAGAUUAAAGACUUGGAUAUCAGCAAUUAAAGAAGGAAAAUGAUGUUUCUUUUAUUAAAAGGAUGAACGUGCUGCAGCUCUUGGUGAGGAAAUGGCUGCUUCUAGAAAGCAUUUUAAUUCAAACGAAUGCUGCCAUUUUAAAUCACUCCUCCCACAAUAUUCUGCUUGAAGUUCUGAUCCCUUGGAUUUGGAUAUUUUAUUUUAUUCUCCUGCAGGAUCACAAAUGAGCUUCUGUAGUAAGAUCCAAGGAAAGCCAUAAAUUUGUUUGAAGAAACAUGCUGGGGGGUUGUUGCAUGUAAUUCCUUACCUUCAUUUAAAAACCGGCAGCUCCUGCCAGAAAAUAUACAAGGGAUAUCCCCCAAGGGAUGUCAGAAUGGCAGAAGAACAAUAGAGCAUAGCUGGAAGAAUACAUUCACCUGGGAUUGUUGUUUUGUUUUAUCGAUGGUAAUUUGUCUAUACGCAAAGGCGAAAUAUUAAGAAAGCUAUCAGAAAUAACUACUGGAAGAAAACCCUCUUUAUACAAAAAUAAUUUUGUACCAAACCUAUAAAUAACAGGCUGUGUGAUCACUGCAGUUAGAGUUCUUUUUGUUAAACAUUAGAGGGACUAUUGAACUCCCACACUUGAAGAAUGGGAGACAAGAUUGCAGCAAUGUGCCAUUAUGAUUAAAUGAACACCCUUCAUCAUGUCUAAGGAAGGGAGACAAAAGUGUAAUCUCUUUAAUGAAAAUUGGCAUUUUUUGGAAUUGAUUACUGGCGUAGCGAUGCACAUGCAUCAACUAAUGUUCAUCAGGUAUUUAAUUUGUUAUAAAUCAUCAGCAUUAUGGGAAAUAAUAGUUUAUUCUUGUAUAUAUGUUUACUUAUGCCUAAACUGUAGCCUGUGUUGUAAUUCUACAAGAACCUGCAGGUUGUGAGAGAGGAGCAAGUCCGACACACACAAUGCAAUGUUUCUAUUUGGGUGAUAUUCAACACUAAUCAUAUUCAGAGUUGAUCUACUGAAAUAAAUGGACUUGGGAUAUUUAAAUCCAUUGGUUUGAAUGGGCCUGCUAUAUGGCUUGGCUGGAUAUCACCAUUUAGUUUUUCUAUGGAAAGACACAACAUGAGCUACUUCAUAAUUCCAAAGUCCUGAAUGGCAUCACCAACUUUACUAUAGAGCAUGUUCUCUAGAUGGCUGUCCAUAUGUUGUUCAACAGCCUUCAGGCCUAGGCAGAAUGACCAGUGGUCAUUGGUGAGUCAAUCGCCUGGAUGGCCACAGGUUCAGCAUCCUUCUUUUAAUAAUAAUAAUAAAUUAUAUCCCACCCUUCCCCUCAAAGAAGCCCAGGGCAGCAUGCAACAAGUGAUAAAGAAAUAAAAAGUUCUUAGAAACAGUUCCAGUACCAAUGCAAACUGGGAAGAAUCUCAACUUGUUGGAAGAGGGAGGUUUUCAGUAGGCAGUACAGUGGUACCUUGGGUUACAGACGCUUCAGGUUACAGACUCCACCAACCCAGAAAUAGUACCUCAGGCUAAGAACUUUGCUUCAGGAUGAGAACAGAAAUCGUGCAGCGGCGGCGUGGCGGCAGUGGGAGGCCCCAUUAGCUAAAGUGGUACCUCAUGUUAAGAACAGUUUCAGGUUAAGAAUGGACCUCCGGAACAAAUUAAGUUCUUAACCAGAGGUACCACUGUAAAAAGACAACAGAGAUGAUGCCUGUCUAAUAUUUUAAGAGAGGCAAUUAUAUGGAGAGGUGCCACAGUGCUAAAGGGCUGAUUGCUACAUUGUGCAGAAUGGACUUUCUCAUCAGAUGGUUUCUGUAGUAGAGGCUCACCUGCAGAGCAAGGGAUUGAUGAGUAUAUAGAGGGUGAGAUGAUCUUUCAGGUUAUUUAGCAUUUGACCACUCAUGCUACGGGACUUGACCAACAAUGAGGUCAGAUUCAGUGGCAAAACACAUUUUUGGCUCAGGGACCACUGGCUAGAGGAGGAUGCUCCCCCAAGAAUUGGAAGCUGGCCAUCCUGCCUUAGAUUAAAUCCCAUUAAAUGAAGCUGAUCGCUUCAGGGUGUGAAUUAUUUCAGACCAGUGACAAUAAUGCCACCUACUUGGGCAACCAGAAUUAGUUACUUUCUGGAGCCUAUAAAGAAAGACCCUGCUUGUCAAAGAUCCCCUGUUCGAUUUAUGGUCACACUUCCCAUUGUAAUAGAAAAAUCAAUACAGCACAAGUAAAUGGUGAUUUCCACCUCAUCCCCUUAGCCUGAAAAGGAUAUGAUUAUUAGACUUGCAGUCCUUUCUUUUUGGACAGCGGCUCUGUGUUUUUAACACAUACAUUGCAGUUGGUGGUAGGGAUUCAGUAGGUGCAAUGCUCACAGUGAGCAUCUUCUUACCCGAUGAAAGCAGCACCUGUUUAAUUUCAACCCACCGUGCAGCUGUUCUAACCAGAGAGCUUUUGCCAUUAAAAGCAGCAGCAACUGGUUCCAAACUCUUGGAAUUAUUAAAGGCUUCUUUCUGCCUUGCUUUCAGCUAUUUUGGUUGUAUGCUGUUGUCAGUUAGUAUCAUACAGAUUGGAACAGCCAGAGUCUUUCUGUGCCUUUCUCUGAUUGCUUCAGGGCCAAAACAACCCUUUGAAAGAAUUCAAGUGUCUCCAACCCAUUAAAUGUAGCUAAACUCCUUGUCUAGUGCUAUUUCGGAUUGAUCUAAUUGGUCCAAACUCUUGGGUGUGAUGCAAUGCCUUCCUAUUAUCCCUUCAAAUAUUGCUCUAGACAACAAAUGCAUAACCAGGGCUGUUGUACUUUGAAGUCAUUGUCAAGACUAGGUGUGAGUGAGUCUGUAAAUUUUGGUUCCUCUCGGUUUCUCAGUUUUUACCAAUCUUAAAUUCAGUUCUUUACAUUUGCAAAUCAGCUUGAGAUUGAAAAACAUCACUGGGAGUUUUCUUCUGGAUAUUAUUAGAAAGACACAGAUAUAAUGUAUAGAAAUUCUUACUACCUAUGACCAACAACAAUCCCGCCCCAUGCUCCUAUUUCCACAAAAUUCUUUUACCCAUACUUUAAUGAAAGAAAUUUCUGUUGAUCAAUGAAUUACCGUAGUUUUCAGUGUAUAAGACGCCCCCUACUUUUGGAGAUUCCAAUUUAAGAAAAUUGGAGGGGGGGGGGAGAUGGCCCAGAGUUGUUGAGAUUUUUUGGGGGGGAGGAUUGCCAAAGUUGUGAAGCUUUUUUUGGGGGGGGGGAGGAUUGCCCAGAUUUGUUGAGCUUUUUUUUUGGAUAAUAAUUAGUAUUAUUUUAUUAUUAUUUAGCAUUUUAUUUUCUCUUAGUGAGUGAUGAGAUUUUAUUGUUACCAGUCAUACUACACAUACCGUAGAACCUUUGGCCUUCCAGAUGUUGUUGAAUUGCAAGUCCCAUCAGCUCCAGCAAGAAUGGCCAGUGGCCGGGGAUGAUGGCAGUUGUAGUUCAUCCACAACUAGAGGACUACAAGUUCCCAACACCUGCUAGAGAGCUUAGCGUUAGGUUUCUUGUUGUGCGAAUUUACCCCUGCCUUCCUUUGGCAAGUUUGUUUUGAUUAGCAAUUUGCAUUUGAAUGUUAAGGAUCUGCUCAUUAAAACAAAUUAUCCUGUGGGUUUGCAGACUGUUUUGCUUGACAGCACGUUGUGGAAUUGCUGCUUGCAUGAUUUGAUUGCAAUGAAAUGUUGGGUAUGGUAUAUCAGGGUUAGUAUGGUUAGAAAUAAAACUGAUGUUUGAAUCGAGAAUGGCAUAGUUUUGCCACAGGGACCACAAGAUAGUUGGCAUGGCUCUUUAUGACUCUUUUCAAGCCACUCCAUUUAUUGCUUUCCCAUUCUCUUAUCUUGGAUAAGAGGAGACUGAGAGAAGAUAUGAUACCCAUCUUCAGAUAUCUAAUGGGCUGUCACAUGGAAGAUGUAGCAAGCUUGUUUCCUCCCACUCUGGAGGCCAGGACUUGAACCAGUGGAUUCAAAUUACAAGAAAGGAGAUACUGAGGGUGUUGUGGUACUGUCUUUGUUUUCUAAAAUUGCAAAUCAUGUUCAGAAAGCUGCUCUGUUUUGCUAUUACAUUUUGCUCCACUGGCCUUUUAGACAAUAUAUUUGGCUGCAUAGACACUGUACCUUUAAAGCUCACUCAAAGAACAAACAUUUUCCCCUCAAAGAAUCCUGGGCACUGUAGUUUAAGGGUUGCCGGGGAUUGUAAAUCUGGAAGGGAUAAACUACACUGCUCAGAAUUCUUUGAAGGAAAUAAUGUGCUUUCAAAGUAUAGUGUGUAUGCAGCCAUAGGCUUACUUGAAAGGGAUGUUUACAAAGGAUUUAUAAGGAGGUAAUUGUGCACUGUGAAGUUUCCAGAGAAAACUUCGCAUGCCAGUUCUUGACGGGCUUGUAACCAGGCGUUACUGCUACUGACUGAAUAAGGAUAUGUUUCUGACACACAGUGUUGCUCUGUAUGCCAGUGAAGCUUGGAAAAUUUGAGAAACAUUUGUAUCCAGCCAUUGAAUUAACCCCUGUAAGACACAUUAUAUCUCUUUUGUGAUAACCACAGGUUUCAAAUUUAUAAAUGGAAUAAAACUUGGGCAAACAUGGUAGUAUUCUCUCUCUCUCUCUCUCUCUCUCUCUCUCUCUCUGUGUGUGUGUGUGUGUGUGUGUGUGUUUAAUGAUCACUUUGGGCAGACUCAAACAUCAACUUUCUUUUGGCGAUUUUUUCAGUGAUUGUUCUGAAAGUGUUUGUAUUGUCCUCACUCUUAAUUGACUUCAUUUGCCUUUAAUGAUAUAAUCACAUAGCCAAAUAUGGCUAUAUAUGACAUUUUGUCAUAUCCUAUGACCUGCGGGGGUAGGGCAGUAUACAAAUUCAUUCAUUCAAUCAUUCAAUCAAUCAAUCAAUCAAUCAAUCAAUCAAUAAUAUUCACUAUGUGAUAGUCACAUGUGUGAUUUCAGAAAUUUGGAUAAUUCAGAACGUGGCAAAAUCAGCAAUUAAAAGUGGGGGGGGCAUCCUUGCAGCUGAAGACAGAUGAAAUAACGGUAGCGAACAGGAUUGUAAAAAGAUGAAACCUACUCACCAUUAAUUGGCUUUUAAAAAUUAACAGGGUUUCAGGAAGUAUUUCUGUCUGAAAGGACUACUUUGAAAGAUCAAAAUGGGAGGAUAUUCAAGCCUUAUUCAGGCAUUUCAUAGACCUGUGAGGGCUAACGGGGGAGGAGAGGGUGGAUAUUUGUACCCUGUGCCCAGUGCUCCAGUUCUUAUGUUCCCAUGUUCUUUGAAGGGCUGUAGUGGGAUUCUAAGAAUGUUCAGCUGACAAUGCUUAGAAUCUUCCCUGCACCAGGGAGCCUGACUAAGACAGAUCUCUGUGCAUGGAGGUCUGAAGCUUCUUCCUGUGAGGUGGUGGAAGUAGGGCUAACUUGUGUACUCCUGAAAGGGCAUGACAUGAACAAAGCAAAAGAACACAUGGAGAUGACAUGCUCUUUCCAAAAGCUGCAUUUGACCAUGUCGGAUUGGAUGUUUUGUUUAGCCUUUUGAGUAAAAAGAAAUCAGUCUUCCUUCAUCAGAUUCAAUAACCUUGUUUUAAUAACAUGUUAAGAGCAUUUUGCUGAUUAACAAAUGCAAUAUAACUCUUGUCAAAAUCAUCUUUGAUCAAAGCAAAUGCAGUAAGUGUUGUAGUACAUCAUGCAAAGAACUCAAUUUUGACUCUCUUUUUUGGUGUGUGUGUGUGUUUAGUGUGCACAAGCAGAUGGAAGGCAGGGUUUAUAUAUUAGCCAGUCAUAAGAAUCUGCUUUGAAGUAUUGAGUAUGGUACCCAGGAACAAUUUAAAAUAUACUUGGCUGAUAUCAGGUGAGGUUGGGGGGGGGGGAAUCAAACGUGGUAUCCAGGGUCUUUAAAAUAGUAUUAGCCUCAAAUAUUGCACAGUUUGGAACCAGUGGGUGAGUUUAGUUUCCUAUAAUCUCCAGGCUCCUAUACCAAUGUAAUUCUGAAAGACGAGUGUACAUCUUUUAAGGUGACAGCACAGCAUUACAUUACAUGUAAUGUCUCACCAGUGAAAUGUCAGCUUCCUGGAUGUUUUUGAGGUUUGUUUUUUUAUUCACAACUUUGCUAUUAAGGCAUAAUUAAAUUUUUUAAACGUGAGUUUUCCUGGCACACCCCCAAUAAAAGUAUCAUUUUAUUUCCUCGGCAAUAGAGCUAAAUUUGAUUGGUCUACGAUUCUCCUGCCUUUAGGAAAAUUGCAACAUGAAAAAUCAUAUGAGAGAAAGUGGGGCAUGUUGGCAAGCCCUGCUCCCAGCCAGAUGUGCCAUCUUCCCCUUUGUGCUGUGCCCAGGGGUAACCUGUGAAAUGCAGUCCAGGACUGGUCCAGAAUCCAAAGGUUCUGCUAGGAGUCAGUCCAACAGGGCCAAGGCAGGAAACCAGGAAAGGACAGGUACAGGAUCUCAGGCAGGUUCUAGCAUACAGCAAUGUUGCUCCCGCAACCUGGGGCAGGGUCCAACAGCCUUUUAUCUUUGUCGGGGUAACGGCCGGUCCUGAUCCCCCAGUGACUAACCUCCCUGUUUUGCCCAAAGGCGAGCACUCCUCCUGCGAGUACUCGGGUCUCUCCUUCUCUCAGACCUUAGUCUCUGCAGCUCGGGAGACGUCGUGGGUUACUAGACCCAGGGGCCACCUCAGCCUCCCCUGACCCAACCGGUAGAGGAGCAGCUGUAAGUGAUGGCCAAGCUGAAGGCAACAAGAAUUUUAACAGGGAGAAUGAAUUUUAACAGGGAGAAUGAAUUUUAACAGGGAGAAAUGUAAAGUAUUGCACUUGGGCAAAAAAAAAUGUGAGGCACAAAUACAAGAUGGGUGACACCUGGCUUGAGAGCAGUACAUGUGAAAAGGAUCUAGGAGUCUUGGUUGACCACAAACUUGACAUGAGCCAACAGUGUGACGCGGCAGCUAAAAAGCCAAUGCAAUUCUGGGCUGCAUCAAUAGGAGUAUAGCAUCUAGAUCAAGGGAAGUAAUAGUGCCACUGUAUUCUGCUCUGGUCAGACCUCACCUGGAGUACUGUGUCCAGUUCUGGGCACCACAGUUCAAGAAGGACACUGACAAACUGGAAUGUGUCCAGAGGAGGGCAACCAAAAUGGUCAAAGGCCUGGAAACGAUGCCUUAUGAGGAACGGCUAAGGGAGCUGGGCAUGUUUAGCCUGGAGAUGAGGAGGUUAAGGGGUGAUAUGAUAGCCAUGUUCAAAUAUAUAAAAGGAUGUCACAUAGACAGAGAAGCGGACACGGAGCAAUGGAUCCAAACUACAAGAAAGAAGAUUCCACCUAAACAUUAGGAAGAACUUCCUGACAGUAAGAGCUGUUUGACAGUGGAAUUUGCUGCCAAGGAGUGUGGUGGAGUCUCUUUCUUUGGAGGUCUUUAAGCAGAGGCUUGACAACCAUAUGUCAGGAGUGCUCUGAUGGUGUUUCCUGCUUGGCAGGGGGUUGGACUCGAUGGCCCUUGUGGUCUCUUCCAACUCUAUGAUUCUAUGAUUCUAAGGUAAUCCCCGCAUCUGGAGCCAGGGCAGGCUCAGGCCCCUGACUCGUCUCAGCUGGUGUUUGUUGCAGGAGAACCUGUGCAGACUGGGACUCUUCAGGAUUAGGCCCCAGACUUGGUUCAGAUAAUGCCCGAGGCAAAGGAUCAAGUGCAGACUGAGUCUCCUCUGGUUCUGAGUCUGAGCCCGAGUCCCAGGCCAUCACACCCUUGUUGGAAGCGCUCUGUGAGUCGAAAGGCAAAUUAGAGUGGCUCCAGUGCGAUUUAGAGCCAUAAUUCUUCAAUUAAUAAAAAAACCCCCUAUUAUUCAAUGGCUCAUAUUCUAAUCUGAAUUCAGGGUUGCUAAUGCUUGCUUGUUUGAGCAAGCAUUAGGAGUCCCAGCACCACCACCAUUUUCACCUGAGUCCUAGAGAUAUUGCCAGCAUUUCUCGUAAGGACUCCUUCAAAAUGUUGUUGUCACAAUAGACCACACUUCCUUAACCAACAGGAAGUGUGAUUUGAAGCUAUGUACAUAUAUUAUUGGCACAUUUAUUCCCCCCCUUCUUCUUUACAUAACUGGGACAGAGAACUUCCAUACAAUAAAACAUAAAUUUUAAUCUAAUUAAAACAGGAAAAGCACACAGCUCAGUGCAUCGUUCUGUCAGCUCCUAUAGAAAGCCAUUGCAUAAAAGUCAAGAUGGAAGUCUCUGAUAAGUGGGGAAUUCACUCUCACAAGGUAUUAGAAGUGGAAGGAGCACUAACAGUAACUCACCCGGUACCUUAAAUGAAUUCUAUUAGACUGUGAAAUAAGACACCUUUCCUAGGUCAUCCCAGGGAAGAGAUCGCUAGGCAUUUCAUAAAUUACUUUUAGAGGUACAGUGUUUUGGAAAGGGGAAUAAAGCAAAAUUGGGUUGUGAGCCUAAGAAUGCUUUCUUGAGAUUAAGCUCCCAUUGAAAUUGAUGGGGCUCGCUUCUAGUAAAUCUAUUUCAGCUAACAUGCCCUUCAAAUGUCAAACAUGAAAAUAUUAUUUAUUAUUUCUGUUUACACAUCACAGAACGGUUCACAAAUGUAAGUAUAAAAUGCAUGUCUUAUGCUAUUUGUUUUUUCCAAUCAAUGCAUAAAAGUAACAUAACAUCAGCAGCAGCAAGAAACAACAGCAGCCAAAAUGGGACGCUCUUGUGGACUGCUAAUACACUUGACUGCCAUGCCAACGAUCACAACUCAAGCCACAUAUUCCAUGAUUAGACAUUACAUUCACAGAUAAUAAAAUAAUUGAAUUGUAGAGUUGAAAGGGACUCUGAGGAUCAUCUAGUCCAGGCUUCCUCAAACUUGGCCAUCCAGAUGUUGUUGGCCUACAACUCCCAUGAUCCCUAGCUAGCAGGUCAGGGAUGAUGGGAAUUGUAGUCCCAAAACAUCUGGAGGGCCGAGGUUGAGGAAGCCUGAUCUAGUGCAACUCCCAGCCAUGCAGAAAUCUUUUGCUCAACUGGGGCUUGAACCCAUGACUCUCAUGCUCUACCAACUGAGCUAUCCACAGGGUGUAAUCUAUAUGCAUUUAUUCUCCAAUGGCUUGUCUUCCAUAGGCUUCUGAAGCAACUUGAGCUCCAUUUUGAAAACUACAGCAAUCAGUUUGCAAUUAAGCACAACAACCAUCUUGCAAUCUUUAGUUCAGAUUCUUGUAUUGCAGGGGGUUGGAAGAGAUGACUGUUGGGGUCCCCUCCAGCUCUGCAAUUCUUUGAUUCUAUGAUUCUAAGCACUCACCUAAUCAUCUUUGGAGAGUAACUGUCUCCAGUGAUCAGCUAGUCUCUAAAACCAAGGGAGUGGAUUUAUUCAUUCAUUUCAGGAAGUGCCCAAAAUUAUAUAUUAUUAUUAAUAAUAAUAAUAAUAAUAAAUAAAUAAUACAGUCAUACCUCGGGUUACAGAUGCUUCGGGUUGCGUUUUUUCAGGUUACCAAUGCACCGAAACCUGGAAGUACCGGAACAGGUUACUUCCGGGUUUCGGGGGUCGCGCAUUUGCAGAAGCUCCGAAUCGCAACUCAUGUGUGCGCAGACGUGACGCUGCGGGUUGUGAACGGGCCUCCUGCACGGAUCACGUUCGCAACCCGAGCGGCUCCAAUCUGGUGGAACGCUCUGCCACAAGUGACUAGGGCCCUGCGGGACCUGACAUCUUUCCGCAGGGCCUGCAAGACAGAGCUGUUCCACCAGGCCUUUGGUCAGGGCACAGCCUGACCCCCUCCUCUGGCAAUCUGCACAGAAUUUUGCUUAAUGGUUGCCAUCAAUUUGAUUUUAAUUAAUUUUAGAAUGAAUGUUUUUAGAAUGUUGGAUUAUUUUGAUUGUUGUUAGCCGCCCUGAGCCCAGCUUCGGCUGGGGAGGGUGGGAUAUAAAUAAAAAUUAAUAAUAAUAAUAAUAAUAAAUUUUAUUUGUACCCUCCCCGGCUGGACUCAGGGCAGCUAACAUCAUAAAACUAACACAGUAUAUACUGUUAUGCAUGAGCAGAACAUUUUCGUGAGCGAGUAUGUUCUGCAGAUUUUUAUUCAUUUGCAACCCAAUUCACUCCAAAACAAGAGUGGCAACAACCUGAAGAAUGUUUAAUCUCACAAUGGAUGUGGCUGUAUGGAACAGAUUCAGCUCAAAACAUUUAGCAACAUUUACUAUCUGGAAAGGCAGUGAUUCUUGGAUGGAAGAGAAGCAGUGCUCUGGGAUUUUGCGUUCAUGAGUACGCAUUUACAUACAUAUACACACUAGAAUCAAAAUGGAUCCAAUGUAGAGAUUGAGGUUCUGGAGAUUUCUCAGGGAGAUUAGAAUCCUGAAGACCAGCAACUCCACCAGUUUAGACUAAUGGCAUAUUUUAUUUUAUUUUUAAAUCCCCAUCCCUCCAAAAUACAAAAUAGAGCCAAUAAAUUUGCAGGUACAAGAAAACAGAGACUGUGCCUGAUGCAAGCAGUUGAGUAAAGGGGAUAAGAAGGAAAUUUCAACAUACCCAGCAAGACACAAGUUUGCAUUUCUUUUUCUGAAACAGAUUCAUAUUGCUGUUUCAUAUUCAGAUUAUAACCUGGAAACCCUGGAACCUGUUCUUUAGAUUCUUUCCCACAUAUAUUCUAAUUUAUAUUUGUUAGAUAUAAUUUGACUACCGUUCAGUGCUGCAGAUUAACACUGGCAUUUCAUCUCCAGAAUCCAUGCAUUUCUUUCAAAAUCUGUAUCAUCCGCACAUUUUGAUGGACACAUCAACGAUCCACAUCAUUUAUGAGGAUGUUGAGCAUCACUGGAGUGGAGCACCACUCUUUAUCUCUUCCCUGUCUGACAUUGAUCCAUGAACUAGCACUUGCUUCUGGCAAAGUGAGCUCUGGGGUGAUGUGGUACUUUGCGCCUUUCUAACCAAAGGGAUAAAUAGUAUUAAAAGGCAAUUAAAAUGGUAUUACCUCCCUUUUAUUGGUUUCCCAGGUGAGCAAUUGCAGUGGAUAAUUCAAGAAAUGUUAAGAGCUUAUGAAAGUAAGAAUCGAUGUUCUAUCUGCUCAACAACUAAAACAAAACAACACACAAACGCUAUCUGAAAGCUAGAAUUAUUCACCUCUCCCUGUCCCCAAAGGGGGGAAAAAUAGAACUAAACUUGGGGGAGGGGAGUUUUGUGGACAUUUUUGUUUCCCAUUUUUUUCUGUGAAAAGAGAAGGGGGUUGUUUGUGGUGCUGGAAACUUUGUUGUAGUAUAGGCUCUCACUCACAAUGAUCUCAGGGGUGGGAGGGGAUCCUCAGGUUUGCCAUUACAAAUGCCAACAUCCCAAACUUUAGCAUCACCACAAAUCUGUGAUGACAAUUUGAUAGCUACACAUUGCAGUAGGACAUUGUUAAAACGGGUGGAAAAUUAUGAUGGGCUGUAUCUGCUCUCCAAACAUAUGUCUCCCUUUUAAAUGGAGACUAGAAUGCUACUGAAAUUUCAUUUUUUUAAAAACGAAGUUUGGCAUUUUCUCAUCAGGUGAAACCAAAUGAUUUACAACGGCUGUGUUGAAAUGUUGUGGUUGACUGUGGCUUAGCAUUACAUUAAUGAGCCUAGGGUUCAUUCAUUCUCUUUCCCCAUCAGACGCUGCCAUAAGAGGAAGUUGUAAUCUUCUGCUUUCAAUUAGCCGUGUUAUUCUUACCAAUGGAACUGUAGUUAAUUUUACCCAUGGUUUAUUGAGAAAAACCAGUUUUGAAUCUUGGUUUAGUGGCCAGCAGGGCAGAGUGAGGUGGGGAAGUGUUGCUCACCUGACUUUCUGACAUGAAGGUUUCUGCCAAUAACCUAAAGGGGGAAGGACGAGGCAGCGGAGAGGUCAGUGUAGUGUGGGCACAACAUCAUAUUCUCCCACUGCUCUGCCCAUUCUGUGCCAACUGCCCUGCAGCCUUGCCCCUCCUCCUCUCGAUUACUGACAGUUAGGAAGUCAGGCAAGCCAUGUCUCCUCACCCUGCCGCGCCCUGCCAGCUGCUACUGCUUCUGAAGACUUUGGAGGGCAGCUUUAAGUCUUGGGCUGGUGACAUGUCAGAGCGAACUCUCAGACAUCUCUAAAAUUGUCCCAGUGGCACAUCCAAAGUCAGAUAGUUCCAGCUGUUCUGCUAUUCAGGGUUCCUUCCCAAAUCUUUCAGUGGAGGCCUGCUGUUGAUGUGAGACAUCGCUUUAUGUUUCUGAGGCUGGAGUCACAUAUUUCCCAGGGAAGCAGUGUCUUUCUGACAGCUGUGCCAAUAUUUUCAACAUUUUUGGGGGGUGGGGGUGGGUGACGGGCAGAAAGAAACCACCUGAUGAAAGAAGAGGUUGAUGUGAGAACUAUGGAGCAAUUUUUGAGCGGGGAUGGGGGUGGUUUGUCUCUUGCUCUUGCCUUCCAAUAUUGAAGUGCAGUCAUAGGGUGCAUAGUCUUGCAUGCACUGUUUAAAAAGAUACAUGCAGGUGCUUCACAUUGACCAGCUUAAUAACAUCUCUGCGCUUUUUUGUUAAAUGAAACUUUUACAUUUUAAGGCAUGGGAUUUGCCUUAUUUCGCAGCCACUGCACACUGAGUUGAAUCAAAAAGAAAAUCCAUUAUCCAUUCAACACAAACUAUUAUAUUUAUACAGUAUCAAAAAUGUCGAUAUCUGCAGAAGCGUUUUCAAAUACAUAGACUUGUCUGUAGUUUCCCCCAAAUACUAUAACUCUGCACCAUGAAUUAUAAGAGAAAUUCAACUGCAGAUAACUUGAUAUAAAAAAGUGACAUGCCCCCAUCGGUGUGACAGGUACAAGAAACCAGUUUUUAACCUCUGGAAUACUUUAGCAACAAGAAGCUUAAGAAACACUUGUAAGAUCCCAGUCCAAAUUCCCCAUGACAUCCUGAACAAAUCUCAACAGCAGAACCUCUGAAGCAGGCAAUAAACAAUGUCUUCCAGAUGUUGAGAUAACUCUCAUCUUUCCUGACUAUUGGCCUUGCUGACUGAGGUUGAUGGGAAUUAUAAUUCCGCAACAUCUGCAGGGCCACAGGAUACCCAGCCCAGAAUGACAUUAUGGAGACAGAGGCUUCUAGAAUGCGGUAUGUGUCUUCUGCUUUAGAAUUAUACUAGCAGUCUGGGACACUUUAAUAGUAACACUUUCUUCUGCAAAAGUCAUUGUAGUCAUGUAUCAUUGAAUAAGGAUGAGAUAGAUGAGCACAAGAGGUUAAUCUGUCUAUCAGAGAUUUUAGUAAUCCCAAAUGUGUGUGUGUGUGUGUGAGAGAGAGAGAGAGAGAGAAAGGGGGGGGUAGGGAAAGCAUUGUUCUGUGUAGGAGUGAAAUCAAGCUAUAAAAAUAAAGGGGGAAAUAACCUUAUUCCCUCUAAUGCUAAGAGUAAUCAGUUUAUUAAGGAAAUGCAUGGAUAGGACUAAUGUUGUGUUAAGUAAAAUGGCUUGGCAAGCAAUAAUAGGGGAAAUCAUUCUCUCUGUGUGUCCAAUUUAAUAUGCAAUGAAGAGAGUUUAUCUAGGGCAUCAUUUGAUAGCACCAUUCAGAUGAGCUGCACAAUGGUUCCAAGAACUGGUAAUGCAAUCUUACAGAUAUUCAUCUUGUCGUCUCCAGCUAGCAGCUAGCCUGGGUGGUAGUAACUGAACGAUCCCGUCUAUUGUGUGACCUGAAAGAAGCUGAUUGUAAAAUAAAUCUUGGGACCUUUUUGUUUUAAAAGUAAAGUGUGGUGGAGAAGGUCACACCACAGACGGUCAGGAGUGCUUAGAGUGGUAGUUUAUUGGUAUCCUCACAGGGACAGCAACUUCUGCAGUGUUUCAGAUAUGUGGGUUUUUCUGUAUCAAAAUACUCUUAUCAGUGAGGGGUGCUGAAGGGGAGUGAUUUUUUUAAAAAAAAUGAAACCUAAAGCCCAUAUAACUACAUAUUGUAAGUAAUAAAGCUAAUUUACUGAGAUUAGUUCUCAAAGAUCUAAAUAGCAAUGUGAUUGGUGGAUUCUUUCAGGCAGAUUUCUCUUGUUGACAUUACAAAGGAAGGGAGGGGUACUUCAAGGGAGUGUUAAGUCACAGCCCCCAAAGCAUCCAAAUAAGAAUAGGAAUGCAAAAACUUGCACCUUUCAACCUAACAACUUUAUUGAGGCCUGUAUUCUUGUAGGUGAAAGUCUACUUGAUCAGAUGUGUGGAGUGUGCAGGGCAAAUACUAGAUACACGUAUUCACUCUGUUUCAGGCCUGGGGAGGAAACUGUUCUGAAAUAGUAAACGAUUUUAAAAUCAGAUAUGCCAUACAUGGAGGAGUGUAGGAAGGGGGGUGCGGCACGCCCUGGGUGUCACCCUGAAGGGGGGUGACAUUUGGCAUGCCCCCCGUGACUCCCAAGGCUACAGUGGGGCCACCAGCAAAGCCGAUGCUGCACCACUUCUCCCAGCUCACUGUAGCUGUAGGCUUGGGAGUCAUGGGCAGGGGGGCGUGUGGUUGCCCCGCCACCCAUGCUCCUGGCUAGAGGAGACAGGCAGGGGAAAGGACAGGUGUCAUCCCAGGGAAGGGGAUGACAUUUGGCGCACCCCCAUGGGCAGAUCAGCAAGGUGCCGAUGGCAGCCCCGGGAAGAUCAGCGCACCCCAGUGGGCUGACUGACUCGCCCCUGGGCAGAUCGGCCCGCCCCCAGGUGCACAUAAUGCUUACCACUCUGGGUGCCCAUCAGCUUCCUAGGCCACAACAGUGUUACCUUGGGUUACAUACGCUUCAGGUUACAGACUCUGCUAACCCAGAAAUAGUGCUUCAGGUUAAGAACUUUGCUUCAGGAUGAGAACAGAAAUCGUGCUCCAGCGGCACGGUAGCAGCAGUAGGCCCCAUUAGCUAAAGUGGUACUUCAGGUUAAGAACAGUUUCAGGUUAAGAACAGACCUCCGGAAUGAAUUAAAUACUUAACCUGAGGUGCCACUAUACAUACAUGCAUAAACAAGAUUAAGUCGCAUGGUGUAGUGGCUUACAGAUGCAUCCAGCCACUGCAGAGCUCAAAACUCAUAUUAAAUGUUGACAGAUGUCAGACAACCAAAGAUGGUUCAGCUCCCACCCACCCCCAUCCAAGCAGGUGAGGGAGAACACAAUGUCCAGCAGUUGAUGUACCCUCAGACAUCACAAAUGAGGACCUUCCUAUCAUCCUCCAUCAAGUGCUAGGCUAAAGAAAAUCCCUAGAGGAAAAUGCAAUCCUUCAUUCUCAAGGAGCACGUUUACAACAAUAUGUAAAUCACAGCAGCGUCUGCAGACAUAUUGACUUGAACUUUUAAGAGCAAAAGGAAUUCAGUCUAUAAAAUAUUGCUAGCUACAUGAAUAAGUCAUAAAUUGUAUUCUGCAGUAACCGUAUUUACUGCUGAGACUGAGAAAUUAAUGUGAUCCCCCCCACCCAGUAUUUACUCACAGAGACAUAUAUUAUUUAAUUCUGGAAGUUGAUUCCUUCUCAAAUAUUGAAUUAAUGUGACAUCAGUUUGAGGGAUUUAAUUGAUUUGUUAGGUUUCAGUUAUUCAUUCAGCGGCUGUCUUGGAAACACCCUGACCUAUAGAACAGCACACUAUGCUUUAGCUGUAAGAAAACUCAGGGUGAAGGAAAUAGAAAAAAAAAUCAGGAUAGUUAAUGUAGGGGACUCCUAAGCAGAUAAUGGAUCUUAGUUUAGUCUAAACUGGAGAUUAAUUGUACUGAAUUUCUCUCUCUCUCGUUUUAUUGCGAUCUGUGUGAUUGAAAUAUUAUAUUGUCUGAAUGAUAUCGAGGUCAGUGCCUAGUACAGGAAAGCUGAUCACUGACUGAUCUUGGAAAAAUGGGGGCGGGGGGUCUCUCUCCUUUGAAUUUUGAUCGCUCAAAACACAUUUCAUUCAUGUUUUCAAGUUGUAUUGAGCUGGCAGCAGUGUGGGCUAGAAGCCUGUCUAUUCAAAAUUGAAUUUGGUUUUUCAGGAAAACUGCUGUGCCCAAGCAUAGCCUUUGCUGUUGCACAGAUGUGAUGUGUGACCAGAGUGUUUCAUCAGCUCAUCUGCUUGUGUUGACACUGUUAAAAUGGAUUCAGCAGAGCAAGGGGUGUGUGAAUCUGCACCCCUCUGUUAUGUUGUUGAAUUGCAGCUCCGACCAUACCUAACCACAGGUCAUGCUUGCUGGGACUGAUGCGAGUUGGAAUCUAACAACAUCUGGAGGGAUAGAGAUUCCCCAUCCUUUCAGUAGCAGAUAGGCUUGUUUCUGAUCUUAGCAGAAAUCCUGGUGCAUAGUGUUAGCAUUUUCAUUUGAAAAUCUAUUCUGGAGGACUUCCGGUGAAGCUAUAUCGCCAUCUUCCCGAAUUUCAGAUCUGUAACAGAUCUGCUCAACAAUAUUUUUAUUGCUUUUUUAAAGGGCAGAUUCCACCAGUUAUCUCCCCCCUUUAGGGAAAAUAAAAUUUAAAAUCUGUAGGUUCCUUUACACAAUUGGUUUAACAUCUUCAGAAAAUGUCCUGGUGAUAUGCCCAAGUGGUAUAAGGUCAUCAUCAGAGAUGGGCUGAAACAGUAACAAACUUUUUGAAAGAUGUCCUAAUUGUAUGGGGGGGGAGUUUGACCACACUUCCCUUAAAACAGGGGAGGUUCCUGAAGGGACGCCAUGUUGUUUUGGGGUAUUGAUUUGAACCCCAGGCUGUUAAGUGGCCAUUCAUGGCCUAAACUAUGGUGUGUAACAUUUCUAUGGUGUGUAGCAUAUUGACUUUGAACAAACUUUUCCACAGCUGUUGAUUUGAUCAGAAGGUUUGCAAAUGAGCUCCCCUAAUCCAGCAAUAUCUACCUAUUCACUCCUUUUGCUGAAUUGGCUUGAUAAUAUCUGUAGGAAAUUGCUGUGAUAAAAUACAAAUUCAUUUCCUCCCUCCCCACCCCAUCACUCAGCUGUGAUUGUUCUGUUUUUGCAAUGCUAAAUCACAGCCGAUCCACCAAGGGUGACAGCUUUGUUUAUGCAUUAAUGCUCUGUCUGCAUUAUUUGACGGUGCUUUUUGAGAUAACAUUUUAUUAGUGAGAAUACUUUUCCAAUGGGCUUUCUCAUUUGCCUCUCUUGAGAUAGCACAUAAAGGGAAAAGAUUCCUGUUUCAGAUGAACAGCAUGUAUUGGAGAUCACCUGCUGUUCUAAAUGCCCGAGCAAAGUUUUCAGGGAGGUAUUUACAAGGUAAGAGGAGAUGUGUGUCUUAUAUGGUACAGAGAGAGAUCUGAAUGAGCUAUUCAACAUAGUUGGGGCCCAGAGAUUAGGCUGUUUAGAUCCCAAAGUUUGAAUACUUUAUCUGAAUUCUGCUGCUAAUUACCUUUGGCACUCUUUGUAAAAACUGUAGUGCAAACUGCAGAAGAGGAAUAAAUUGUCUUUAUGAUAUUUUUGUCACUUCUGCUAGAGCAUACUGUGUCUUUACUGUCUACUUAAACUACCAUUUCUUUUGCCCAGGCUUGGCAAAAAAUAAUAAUAAUCAAAAACAUUCUCUGAUGAUACGAUUAUUAUUGCUUUUUAAAUGUUACACUGUGAAGAAUUUCAGACCAAUUCAAAAAUGGAAAGGUGUGGCUGGAGACAGAAAGCUGUCAUUACAGCAGCUUAGAGGGUUACCUUCUACUCCACCAAGCCCACCUCCUCCCACCCACGGCAAUGGAAGCAGUGGAAGUUUUAUUUAUGACGAUUUUCACCCAAUGGAUUUAUGGGUCUGUGAUGCCACCCUUCUGAUGGUUCUGAAUGCCCGAGCUUCUGAUGGUUCUGCUAGGUGCUUCUUUUACUGAUAGAUAACCUGCUUAGAUAACAUUAGCUUCCACUGGAGCUGAUUCCAACAUCAGCUAAACCUCAACAGAGAUCCUAUUACAGGACCCUUCCUUACUCUCAACUUUUGUCACUCUUGGAUUGACCUUUUUGGACACAUUGGAGGCAUGCUCCAAGCAGAACCCACAGGGCCUAUGUGCCAGAAGAACAUAGGUGGCCUGCAAGACAAGAUGCAGACAUAGCAUACCACUAGUCCCCAUGUGCAACCACAGUCUGAACGAUAGCAGAAAAAUAGCUUUCUUUUGAGCUGUUCCUGAACUCUUGGAGAUCUUGAGUCAUUCCUGAAGAAUAUUCAGCAAAUGGCCAGCCCAGUUUCACCAUCUAUAUGUUUCGGAUGCAACUGUGGAUCCAAUUCUAAUAUUGUUUGGAUUUUAUUUCAGUGUUGUUGAAGGAAGCUUGGCUCCUUUCCAACCCAGUUCUUCUCUCUUAGCCUGUAGCUUCCUCCCUCCACUGAAUAAUUGUUUCAUUCAACAUCAAGUGAGCCAAAAUUUUAUCAGUGGAGACAUUUCUGAGGAACAAUUAUAGUGGAUUUUACAUUAUCCCACCUUCACCCUGCCCCAUUUUACCACCCACAAAUACCAUUGAGAACAUUAGAAGACCUCACUUUUGCUCAAAAGCCCCAAAGCUUUCUCUGGUUUUCCCAAAGUUUCAUUUAUCCUUCAGUGAACUGACUUCCAGAACAUUACCCCUGGCUUAUUAUUAUUGCUUUAACAUAUAGCCAACUUCCUGCCACAGUUGCUGAGUUUUUCCCCUCUUUCAAAAGAGAACAAAUGUGACACAUGUUCCAUAAUGACACCAGAUAUAUAGAGGUUGGCCACCUCCACUUGAACCACAGGCCAAGGAAGAGCUACCAGCAAGCUGGGAGUGGCAAAUAAAAUAUCAUAUUAAAGAAAAUCAUGUCAUGCUGACCUCUGAGCUCUAAAGCUUGGGAGAGACUCUGCUAAUGAGGAACUGUAAUCUUUUGAGAGAUACACAGGCAAAGAUUUUCCCCACUGUAGUCAACAGAGAGAUUUCACAAUAGUUGUUACAAUCAUGGUAGUCAUCUUUGUUCUAAUAUAGGGUCACAAGACUGGAUCCUUUUCCUCAACACUGCAAGAGAAGGCCAUGGAGGUAUAUCAUGAGGGAAGAACUGAGGCCAGCUUUCAGCACUUUUGUUGGGACCCCCCAAUGAGCUUUUAAUGCAGCUCUUUGUAUGCAAGACCAUGUUUCCACUAAGUAACCAAAGAACGAUAAAUAACUUUUCUGGCUGUUCUUGCAGUUGUGUUUUGGUUUGGCAUCUUGCAGACACUCCCAACUAAUGGUAUCAUUUGUAGAGCCAAUAGCCUCUUAAAUAGCUCUUUAAGAAAACAACACAUUUGUUUGUACACUGAGGGCCAAGGAGCCUACUGAUGACUUUUACGCUAUUAUGCUUUUAGAGCUAAUUAUAUUUCUUUAAUGCAGCCAGCUUCUUGACUUCAGCAAGCCAUGUUAUUAAUGAAACCUUAAUGUGCUCUAAUUCUGCUGAGUGCGGCUAUUGUGCAGAAGGCUAGGACAGUAACUUCCUUUUUAUAUCCUUUACAUGAAGUCUGUGUGACAGUUUGGAGGCAACUGACUUCCACAGAGGAAUCAGUUCAUGAGUGAAGUCACAUCAUGGCGUGGUGGAUUACAAAUUCAUAAGGCAUUUUUAAACAUUUGUCAACUUGUGAUUUCAAAACUUACCUUCUCCUGCCAGGAGGAACAAGGAAGUGGAGUCCAGGGCACUGAAGCCAUGUCAGAACCUGCCAGAACCAGAGGGGAUCUGGCAGGUCAGGGGAGCCAGAUGAAUCUGGUUUGUCAGAAGAUUGAGCUUACUGGUUUUUCAGACCUCAAUUGUGGAUAUAUGUCAGAACACAAUCUUAGCUAUGCCAGAGUGCUAAUUAGGCCUGCCAGCCUCUCCGUUUGUUCCAUGAGGCUGUUUGGGCCAAUCUGCCCUACACCAAACAUCCUAUAUGGCAUCAGAUGUAGGGCAGGUAAAAAUGGCUGGGCCGAAAGGUGGUUUAUGGCGCUGCCAAUCACCAGCACCCAAAAAGCCCUCUGCAGGGUGCUUUGCAAGCAGUGACUAUCAGCUGAUCAUCAGGGCUUGCAAAGUGCUGUGCCAUUACCUACACAACUUGGAAAGGAGGAAGCCAACAUGGCGCCGAGGUAAGACGCGCUUACCGGUGCUCUUCGGACUUCUUUUAAUCUUCUCUUAAUCUUUUAUACUUUUAUCGCAACUGACUCAGUCAGUUUUUGAAGUAUUUUAUAAUUGCUGCAGCCGCAUACUAUGGAAACUCUUUGAGAGAUUUGGCCCUGCUCCAGACUGCUGCAAGCCGCUCUUUGUUUCUCUCAUAUCAGCGGGCUGGCUUUAGCUGCUAAAGGAGUUGAGAACGCCAUUAUCUUAAUUGCGUGUUAAGUGUUAUGUUAUUUUAAGAAUCGUAUAAUCUCUGGCCUGAGGAAAGCAUGGGUCAGAAAAAACGCUUGAGAGACUUUGACGAGCCCCUAUCAUCCCCUAAACCAAAACUAUCAAGGUUGGUGCCACACCGGAUUGGAGGAGGGAGUGACCAUGCCGAGCAAGGCUUUGCAGUGGAAACCCAAAAUCGCUUCCAACCUCUAAUUGAUUUAGAAGCUACUCCGAUUCCGAUGACUCAAAAUGUUUCAAAUGUAAAGCCUGUAAAGGAGAAUACGAAAGAAAAACUCUCAUCGCAGGAUGAUGGUUUGGCAUCUGUUAUGGGGAGUUCCCCAGAUGUGAGCAGUUACACUUAGUAAUUAAGACCCUUCACUGUAUUUUUAAAAGGCUGGACGAGGUAUCUUCACAAUUAUCCAAUAUCCUGCUGAAAAUCGGAAAACUUGAAUCAACAACACAAUCCUCAGUUUGUGAGGUCAAAAACUUAUUGCCUCACCCCCAUUCAGAUAAAAUACUGGAGACUAAAACUAAAUAUGUCUUAAAUUCCCAAUUGAACAAUCAGAUAUUAACUUUGCAACCCAAGAAAAGUUGCCUAUCUGUCAGGUCGGAAAGAGGAAGAUGGUCAACGCUAGAAGGAGCUAAAGACUGCUUAAGCAAACUUUUAAAAAUUAAGAAAUAUCAGAUUGACCUAUAUGCUGUAAUGCCCCUUCCCCGGCAGACCAACUUCUUGAAGGUGAUACUUGCGUUCCACUCUGAAAAGAUACCAUCUAUUAUUGUUAGGAGGAAAACGCUUUUGUCCAUGGCCGACAUUGUAGCAACGAGGGUUUUUACAGACAGCAAGAUCAAACCCCUUCUAAAUAGGUGCCCUGGCGGUGAGGACAUUAGGACAAGAGACUCUGCCUUACUUCAAAAUACUGUCAGGCCCAAUCGCGAUGACUCUGCAGCGUGCCAUCCGCGACCAAACUCGAUACCCUCUCAAACUGCUAUAUAUGAGGAUGAUAAUCUGCAGACUGCCCUCGACGAAAGGGAACUUAUUGAUUCAUUCAGAGCCCUUCCUCCGAAAGAACAGUCGGUGAUGAUGCAAAGAUUUGACACGCUUAAAUCUCAGCUUUUGCAAGUUCAACAUAGAGGGAAGAUACUAACGAUGUCUCAAAUAAUCCCACUUGGGCCCACCGGACAGAAGUGGUUGACCUUCUUCAGCUCAGCCCCACUCUGAAUUCAAAAACCAUCCGACAAGACUCAAAUCUUCAAGUUGCUUCUGCAGCGUGCGCUACAUCACGAGACGACCAGGCUCUGCCAUCCUCACUGAACCUUCAUCUAUAUUCAUCAACCAACAUACCUAAGGACGAAAUUCUGAUUUCCCUGCUUGACUCAAAUCCCUCUUUAACUCACUCAUCUAUGCCAGAGCUAGAAUCUUCUCCAGUUUCGUCCAGAUAUAGAAGUAGUCCACAAGUGAUGCCCCUGAGAGAGUCUUCCGCAAUUUCCACCUCCGUGAUGCCCCCUCAAUUACCUCCUUCAAAGGAAACUGCGAAUGUUACACCUCGGGACCCGCCGUCAGAAAUGAUUGAAGACCCGAUGGGACGCAUCAAUAAAAUAAUCCGAAUGUCGGAUGACAAAUCUACGAGAGGGUUUACCCCGACGGACUCAAUUUCCCCUACCUGGGUAUUUCUCUGUCAAGUUGUACCAAGAAUUUCGAAAUGAAGAGACUUCCUGUUCAGAGAUCUACUUUCAGUGGAUCAUCCACGGUGUGCCAACAGUCGAACCAAAUUGUUAAAAACUUUAAUUUGCAGGGCGCCUCACAGUUACCAUCUUCCCAAAGUAAAAUAACUGACUUUUUUGUUACAUCUUCUGUCUUUAACAGAGAGUCUGCCCCCCCUCCAUUUUGACUGUUAAAAGAACAACAUAGAAGUCCCCUGCUAGCAGUCCUAAGUUGGAACAUUGCUGGCUGGAAAAGGAAAAGAUUAGAUCCCGAAUUUCUGUCCUAUAUAAACUCUUUCCAGAUAAUCCUUUUGCAAGAAACAUGGGAAGAAGAUAAAAUAGAUAUAAAUGGCUUUGAACUGAUAUCACUUCCAGCUAUCCCCUCCCAGAAAGGUGGCCGGUCCAGUGGCGGUCUUGCAAUCGCCAUAUCGCUUAAAAUGAGAGCUAAACUCUCGCUAGUUCAUACCUUUCCUCCUUUUGCUUUUACUGGUCUGAUUUCAAGUGAAAAACUCUCACUAUUAAUCACCAAUGUUUAUCUUCCUCCAGGUGGUCUGAUAUCAGACCUUCAUUAUAGAUGGGAUUCUCUGGAAGAUCAUUUAUUGGCAUGCUAUGUUAAGUACCCUAAUAUUCCAUCGAUAAUGGGUGGUGACUUCAAUGCACGUACAGCUGCCAACUGGAAUGGGAUAAUUAAGGCCAAGUGGUGGGUAUCUCCCCCCUACCCAAAAUCUGAUUUAAUCUCUUUCACAUCAAGAAGAUCCAAGGACAACAGAGUGAAUGAGGCGGGAGUCCUUCUUUAUCAAUUGGCCAUUCGUAUGAAUUUGAACAUUCUAAAUGGCAACUGCCCUCCGGACGUGCCAGGUGAAUUCACUCAUUUGGGCACAACAUCUAAUAGUGUCCUAGAUUAUCUUCUAGUCUCAGAAGACCUAUUUUCAAAUUUCUUUUAUUUCAAAGUAGAUAAUGUACAAUCCAGUGAUCACCUACCUCUAGCGGCCAAGCUAACGCUUGACUGGCACCCGGUUAGCGGAACACACCCAAUUCAUGUAGGUUUAAAUGCCACAGCUCAAGUAAGAGGCAUUAAAUGGUCCAUGAAACAGGCCCAAAAAUAUGCAGAAUUCUUCCAGAGGAAUAGCUCCGAAUCCCUUAUUGUUUCAUUGGCGGAGCUGUCUGAACCAAAUAGGAUACUGGAGUGGUUCUUCCACUUCUCUGCAGAUUUAACUAGCUUCUUUACGAUGCCGGCUCACCUCGCAAAACGAGAUCAACCCAGGUUCGGUGCUCCUUGGUUUGAAGCCAAAUGUAAGCAAGCUAGACUCUCUCUCUGUUGUAUCUACAACAGAUAUAAAGCCUCUGGAGCUGAAACUCUCCCCCCAGAGUACUUGCAGGCCAAAAUUGCUUACAAACAGGCUCAGAAGUCAGCCAAGCACGAGUGGCAGCUAAGACGUUGGCAAGCGCUGAUUGCUGCCUCUAAGCUUCGCAGCUCUCGCGGUUUUUGGAAUUUAAUCAACAAAAGAUCGAGGAAAUACCCAUUGACGGUUAUCCCAGCCCCGACAUGGGAACAAUUUCUAAGAAAAUAUUUCUCCCAGACAGACAUCUCUAACAUCCAAUCUGAUACUCUCUCAAGUAACUUGCCCAUAUGGCCAGAUACUGACCCGGAGGAAAUAGUAGAUUUAAUUGCCAAACUGAAAACUGAUAAAGCCCCAGGGCCCGAUCUGAUCCCGGCGGAAGCUAUUAAACAACAUCCAAUAUGGUGGGCUAAAAUUCUUGCAAAAAUCUUUGAUACAAUCAAUGCCACGGGCCAGAUACCUACAUCAUGGAAGGAGUCCAUCAUAAUUCCUAUAUAUAAAAAGGACCACCAGAGGACCCAGGAAACUAUCGUAAUAUCAGUUUAUUAUCAAUCAUCGGAAAAAUCUACACUCGCUUCUUGCUAACCAGACUAACCCAAUGGGCCGAAGAUUCCAAUCUGAUAGGCCAUGAACAGGUCGGGUUUAGACCAAAUCGCGCUUCUAUUGACCAUGCUAUAAUUCUAUAUCAUUUGGCGCGGAAAUAUUCUUCCCCUACUCAUGGUCUUCUAUGUGCCGCUUUUAUAGACCUGAAGGCGGCUUUUGACAGUAUCUCUAGAGAGCUGUUAUGGGAAAAACUGGCAAAGUGGGGCAUAGAUAAAAGGCUGUUGUGGCUAUUGAUUAAAUUACAUGAAGGGACGGCUGCUAGGGUGAGGUUAACACCUGAGGGCGAUCUCACAAACUCAGUUCCAAUAAACAAGGGGGUACGACAAGGGUGCAUCCUUGCCCCCUAUCUUUUUAACCUUUAUAUUAGUGACAUGAGGACGCCCCUAGCUGAGGCCCAAACCUCCAUUCAUGCACCCAGGCUUGCAGACUAUCGCUGCCCCUUAUUAUUGUACGCUGACGAUGCGGUGAUCCUCUCUUAUUCUCGAAUCGGUUUGAGGAGGGCCCUUAAGAUUUUUGCAUCAUAUUGCCAAACAAAUUUACUUACUAUUAACCAUUCCAAAUCUAAAGUCCUAAUUUUUUCCAGGAGUCGUAAACUGUAUAGAUGGGAACUUGAGGGAAGCCAAUUGAACAAGUUUACAAAUUUCAAUAUCUAGGAAUUUACUUCCAGUAUAAUAUGGGAUGGAAAGCGCAUAUCACAUAUCUACAAAACAAGGUGAAAGCCCUUAUCUACGCUAUACUACGCUUCUUCUUUACUGAGGGGCUAUGCAUGUUCCAUCUGCCUUAAAAGUUUAUAGUGCAAAAGUGGUUGCAACUAUGGCCUAUGCGGUCCCUUUAUGGGGCGUCUUUGUAAACCUCUUGCCUCUGGUGACAUUGCAAAACCUUUUCUAAGACGCCUUUUGAAACUACCCUCCUGUGUAAGCAACUCUGCCAUUCGCUUAGAACUUAAGACCCCCUCCCUUGAGAUUCUGAUGUGGAGACAUGCCUUUAAUUAUUGGCUGUCCCUUUGGCAUAAAUUGCCAAACUACCAUCUUAUUCAGUGCCUUUGGAGAGACGAAUUCACCAGCCCAUGGGCAACAAAAAUCCAUUCCAAACUGUUGUCUUAUGGAAUCUCUCCCUCCGAUAUACUUAAUUUAGAUCUAAUUACAGCUAAAAAGGUCAUCAAACAAAGACUGGAGGAGGUAGAUUUACAACAAAAUCUUACCACAGGUGGAGGUACAUGUUCCCCGAUAUAUCAGGGCAUUACAUAUAUGUCCCAGAUACCUCGAUAUCUGUCUACUUUAUCGGCUGCGUCGCAUAGAUUCGCAUUUGUUAGAGCCAGAUUUAAUGUGUUCCCCUCAAAUGUGCUGAGCAAUAGAUUUUCUAACGGUAAAAUCUCUGUUUUGUGCGCAUGUGACAACAAAUCGAUAGAAUCCCUUUAUCAUAUCUUGUUUAAUUGCCCCUUAUAUAAUGUUCCCCGAUCAAGGAUCCUGAGUUCAAUCAUUCUGGAAAUUGCUGCUAAACCACCUGAAUUACAUCUAGCUUAUCUACUCCAGGACAUUGACUCUUAUAGAACUUUACAGGUUGCUAGAUUCCUGAUCUCAGUUCUGUCAUAUAAAAGACUUCAGGGAAUGCUGCAUGACUAUUAAAAAUUCAGAAAACUCUAUGCACCAUCUUUAUCUUCAAGGCCAUAACACGGUACAUUUAGAGAUUAUGCGUUGAAAUAUUUUAGUUGAUAUUUUAGAUUGUAAAAUGCUAUUGAUUUUAUCUAUUGAUUUUUAUCUAUUGAUUUGUUUUACCCUGUGGGCUUAUAGCCGAAUAAAGUAUUAUCUAUCUAUCUACCUACACAACUUGAUUUCAAACUGCAUAGGCAAAAAUGGUAUCAUUGUGAUGUCAGGUGAUUGACAGGUGGCUGCCCCACCCAUGUCAAACUUGGUUCGGGAAGGGAGGAUGAGAAAGAUAAGGAUCCAGUUCUCCAAACCUGUUGGAUAGACCAGCAAAGUGCUGACUGGUUGGUUACUCUAGCCAAUGACAUUACAUCAAGAAGGGGUGCUGAUAUCUUGCACAAAUACCCUUUUCCUAUCUAGUAAAUAGAUGUUACCUUCCUGGGCUCCAUGAUCACUGUAGAUGGUGACAGCAGUCAUGAAUUUAAAAGAUGCCUGCUUCUUGGGAGAAAAGCAAUGACAAACCUAGACAGCAUCUCAAAAAGCAGACAUCACCUUGCCAACAAAGGUCCAUAUAGUUAAAGCUAUGGUUUUCCCAGUGGUGAUGUAUGGAAGUGAGAGCUGGACCAUAAAGAAGGCUGAUCGCGGAAAAAUUGAUGCUUUUGAAUUGUGGUGCUGGAGGAGACUCUUGAGAGUCCCAUGGACUGCAAAAAGACCAAAUCUAUCCAUUCUGAAGGAAAUCAACCCUGAGUGCUCACUGGAAGGACAGACCCUGAAGCUAAGGCUCAAAUAGUUUGGCCACCUAAUGAGAAGAGAAGACUCUCUGGAAAAAAAACUCUGGGGUUGAGAAAGAUUGAGGGCACAAGGAGAAGGGGACAACAGAGGACGAGAUGGUUGGACAGUGUUACAGAAGAGACCAACAUGAAUUUGAUGAAACUCCAGGAGGCAGUGGAAGACAGGAGUGCCUGGUGUGCUCUGGUCCAUGGGGUCAUGAAGAGUCGGACAUGACUAAACGACUAAACAACAACAAUCUAGUAAAUGCAAUGAUGUCACAGCAAGAGCCUCCCUCAACCAAGAGGUGGCCAGGCAGACACAAGCAGAGAUGUCUACUGCUUGUGUUUGGGUCAGGAUGCCUUAUCCAGAAUAUUCUGGUUGCAAGGAGGUAGAAAGACUAUCCUGUUGCUUCACAACUUUCAGGCUCUUGCUGCAGAUUGAUGGCUAUAAAUGUGAAAUAAAAGUUGUGUGCCCCUCAGUUAACCCAGUACCUGUGCCCUUACUCUUUAUUCCUGGUUGAGGUACAGUUUUCUUGACCUGAAACUCAGGCACCGCCUUGUCAAGUGGCACAGAUAUUUAGUUCAGCUUUCUUUUGAGAAUAAGGUCUGGUGCAGUUUGUUAGGUGAUGAUUAUUUACUGAUAUAUCUGAGACGACGUGAUGUCUGCAUUGCUUAGUUUUCAUUAUUUAUGCAUUCAAUUUACAACCCACCUUUUGUUCUGAAAGCAAACUCAAGGCUGCUAACACUAUCAAAACGGCAAUAAAAUUACAGCAAAACUCACAAGAACGGAUUGAAUCCUGCUAGUUUAGCUCUUCCAUUAGUACUUCUAACCCAGCCUUUCUCAACCUGUGGGUCCCCAGAUGUUGUUGAACUACAACUCCCAUCACCCCUAGCUAGGAAGGCCAGAGCUCAGGGAUGAUGGGAGUUGUAGUCCAACAACAUCUGGGGACCCACAGGUUGAGAACCACUGUAAAAUCUAACUAUUCAGGAUGCUGCAUAACAGAGGCUGUUGAAGACAACUUCCUGUCUUGUGCUGAUCAAAUAUGUGGGUUGGGGUGGGGGUGGGUAACCAAAACUGAACUGAAAUCCAAAAACUAGUUAAAAAGGUCAGACCUCCAUCCUGGCACAGUAAAACUGAAGUAGCCAAACUACUUUUUUUUUUUAAGUGGGACUAUUUUGUGGUAUGCAAUUUCAGUGAAGGAAGUUCUCUACCUCAAGGUAUUGUCCCCCCUGUCCAGUUGGAUGUUGGAUUCCAACUCUCAUCAGCCCCAGCCAAGAUCAAGAAUGAUGGGCGUUGUAAUCCAGCAGCGUAGUACCACUGGAGAGCACCACAUUGGCCACCCCAGCUGUAACAAUUCAGUUCCACAUGAAGCAUUAAUUCAGAGAAUAAGAAUAAGUAAAAUAUGGAGGAUGCACCAGUCUGGUUUACACCUGCUCAAGCUCAGAUGGUGCAGAAUGAACAUCCCUAGCUGGAUAUGAAGACCCUUACCUAGAUCCAUUCAAUGUUGAGAGCAUUUUCAAAGGUACUGCAAUGAAUUUUGCUGUUCUGAAUGUGAUGUAAGCUGCCAAUAUACUCCUGAAUAUUUCACCAAAGUUCUCCUGCCUGUCCCCAAUUUUCAGAAAUUUCCCAAUUUGGGGGGAAUUGGGGUGGGGGAGGGGACUUGACCAAAAUCAUCAGAACAGGACAAAGCCAGUUGUAAAAUUUCUUGACUGCCUUGAAACUGAUCUGCACCCAUAAAUAUCAAACAAUAUAACCACUUUCUCUGAGAAGAAAUCCAAGAGAUUCUUUUAAGCGUGAGUAGAAGGAGCUUGUCCCCUCUCCCCCAAUACUUCAGUUGUAGAAAGGCAGGCAAAAGAUGCUGUAUUUCAUAGGUAAUCAUUGCAGCAGCAGAGUCAGACAGGAGCUAGAGAGCUUGGUAAUUUUCAUGACUCUGGCAUUUACUUUGAUCCCAAAUACAAAUUGCUUUGCUCAGCUGAAGACAAAGAAUAAGCUAAUCUAACGAAACUAUAGUUUGAAAAUUCUCGAAGCUUAUAUUUCAAAUGAUGUAUGUGUGAUUGAUUUUUCAGAUUACUACUUCAAACUAAUCCCCAGAGGGCUGAGAAUAACAAAGAGAGGCCCAUAAAUGUAUUGGUUCUUACCUGGAUUACUUUAUCAAUGAGCUUCAUGUCUGUAAAAGUGAAAAUAAGAACAUAAGAAUUGCCUGCACAGAUUUAUAUAAUGGCAUUUAUGAGCUAAAACUGUGUUGCUAGUUGAUAUAGAAAGGAACAAUUUGGGACUGAAAUUCAUUCAAUCCACUAAGUUGUCAAAUACAACUGAGAAAGUUCAGGAGGAUAUAGCAUUAGUGCACGUAAAUUGCAGGUAAAUAAAAAUAAAAAUACCUACAGUAGUACCUCAGGUUACAGAUGCUUCAGGUUACAGACUCCGCUAACCCAGAAAUAGUACCUCGGGUUAAGAACAUUUUCAGGUUAAGAACGGACCUCCAGAACAAAUUAAGUUCUUAACCUGAGGUACCACUGUAUUUCUCAAAUUAAAUAUUUAUCAUGCAUUCAUUUUCUACGAGUUACACUGUGACUGUAAAAGUUUAUUUAUUUAUUUAAUGAUUCUAUUUACAGUUCAAAUUGGUUCCAAAUUUGUCACGGAAGGCUUAGAGGACACACUAGUCAGGAAGCUAGAUGGAAAUUUCAUUGUUUCCCUUAGCAGAAUGGAAUGGAAUAGAAAUCUUGUGCCUCCAGCCACAUAAAAUAAGUCUAGUGCCACCUAGCAACUAAGCUACAUAAAGACACCAUCCACACAAGUCCAGUUUCUUAAAGCUGGUACAUAUGUCUGAACCAGAACCAGACUGGAGAGUUAUAUACUCAUGAACCUGAACUGAAACAGAACCCACCUUUUAAAGUUUGAUUCACUAUCAGUUUUUGCCAAACUUGUCCCCUCCAGAUCUUUUGGACCACAACCCCCACCCACCCUAGCUGGCAUAUGGGCUGGGUCCUAAUCCAGAAUGGGUUUCCAAUAUGGAUCAGGGCCCUGCACCAAUUUACUGCUGAAAAUCACUUCUUCCCUGUCUGCUGUUUGAAUCUGAAGGUGCUGUUUGCAUUAAUGCAUGCCUUCAGGAUGGUGGAGAAAGGGUUGGCAGAAAGCUGGUGUGGGCCUUGAUCUGGAUUGAGGUCCCACAGGUGCUUUUUCUUCUAAAGAAAUAUAGCCAUGAAUGAAUAACUGUAAUAUGUAGUUUGGGGCUCAGUAGUCUAGAAUGGCCCAUGUGUCUUGGCUCCCUGAAUAAUUCCGUCUUAGAACUUUUGGUUCCCUAGUGCGUGAUGUCUAGCCAAUCAUCUCACACGGUAGCUUGAUAAGUCACUCAGAAGCCUUCUAACCACAAACAUGGGCUCCAACCCAAUAGAAAUAAAUACAUGUGCAAAUAGGUACACACAUGCUUUGUGUCUGUCAUGGACUCAGAAGUCUAGUCUAGCCUUGGCUCAUAGAAUCAUAGAAUUGUGGAGUUGGAAGGGAUCCCGAGGAUCAUCUGUCCAACCCCCAGCAAUGCAGGAAUAUGGGGAUUGAACCUACAAUCUUGGUAUUAUCAGUGCCACACUCUAACCAACUGAGCUAUCAAGGCAUUAUUAUAUCCAGGCUCAAGCCUUUUCAGCUCUGGGGACAUGUAUAGAUCACCUGUUGUAUUAGCAUUUACCUCUGUUGGAUGGGGCAACAAUGCCUUUAUAUGGACCACAAUCCACACAUCCCAAUCAGCUGUUGUUUCUGGUUCAUCCAUCCCACAUUCAAGCCUAAACCCUUUGCUAGAAGCUUCACCCUCUAUGUCACCCUGUAACUCAGGUUAUAGGGUCUGUCCCUUCCUCUUCCUGAACAUCAGAAGAACAUUCCCCAUGUUCAUGAAGGAAAAGGAACCAUAGCUCAGGAGCAGAGCACAUUAUUUGCAUACAUAAGAUCCCAGGCUCACCCCCCUGACCUCUCCAGUUAAGAGAUUCCUGCACACAAAAAAUGGAGGCCAAAUGCCAAUUAUAGACAAUUCUUGGGUGGGCGGGCCAAUGAAUUAGUCUAUCAGAAGGCAGUUCCAUAUGUUCCUGUGCUGUUCUGGGCAGCACUUUCUAUCAUUAAAUUCACCCAGCCCCAUUUAGCAUACAUAUGUGAACUGAAAGGGUUUGUGGAAGCAAUGCUAUUAAGGCAGCCUGGCAUUUUUGUGUGUGCUAACUUGAGGUGGGCUUGUGUCUAUUGUGUUUUGGUGCACACAGAAGGAGGGCUGUACCACAUGGAAGAAAAACAAACAAACAAACAAACAAACGGCCAAACCAAUUUCUGCAAGAGGAUUUGUUUACAAAGUUGUCAGAUUUACUGACACGUUCUGAGUACAUUUUCUGUUCUUCCCCAGGGGAAACUACUCAACAUCUUAGAAGAGGAGUAACAUAAAAGAAGUUAAAGCAAACAUUCUGGUAACAUUCAGCUUCUAGCUGCUACCACCAAAGGAACCAUUUUGUUCAACAUUUAAUCAGUAACCCAGUAUCAGA
rnacentral:lncRNA from 1 species